rnacentral:lncRNA from 1 species
UUAGAUGAGUCUUUGAGAUAAUGUUUUAGGUUAGUUUAUCACUUGGUUUCAUGGUAGUAUCAUAUAAGCAUUUGUUUGUGGAGGUUUUUGGGUGCAACAAAUUGUCUUAGAUCUUAUGUUAAGUGAUUAUUCAAACAUUGUGAAGUUUAUCUUUGUAUUUUAUAUUAUCUAUUAAGAGUUUGUUAAAGUAUUUAUCGGUGAGAUCUCGAGCUUAACAUUUCUAUUAAUCUGUUUUCUUUUUGCAGAUCUUUAGAGUUUAUAUAUUUCUUCAAAUAUAUAAGAGUGUCACAUAAUUUAGACAAAAUCAACUAUGACAAUUAGAUAAUAUAAGAAUAAAUCUUUAAAAGAUUAUGUCAUGAGAUGAGACUAGUGGUUGACCUGCACCCGCUCAUUCAAUUUCAAGCUAUUUAUGUUUCUACUAGGAUGAAAAAAGAACAAUGCUAAGAAGUGGCACAUAGAUUAACAAUCUUCUUAAACCCUUGUCAUCUUGUCAAGUCAAGUCAUUUCAACGAGGGUUAUAAAUGUCUAGCUAAGAGGGUUAUAAGAGUAUAGCUAAGGCUACAUUUCACUCUAACUUGACUACUUCCUCAAAACGAUCGAUCCCUUAAGUCGGUCACAUUAUUCAAGAUGAUUUUUUUCUCAAGAUUAUUGCUCUGAAGCUGGUUGCAUCAUCAAGAUAAAAACAUAAGAUAAUCGCACACUUAAAUCGAUUAAGUCCUUCGAGAUGAUCGUUUUCUUAAAAUAAUCACUUAUAUCAGAUCUUUCAAAAUAGUCAUGUUUUCAAAAUGGUUAUAUCUUUAAGUCAGCCAUGUUUUGGUGCUUAGCCGUCUAACAUUCUAAGGUUAAACGCAAGUUGGUUGCUGCAUAGAUCAGAAUAAGAAGCCUGACAAACGCACGUCGGUCUAAUAGCUUAAACAAGCAUGGGGCCUGACCUCAUCAAGAGGUACCUCCUCUAUCAUAGCUUAUCCAAUGCUGUCUCUCGAUCUUAGUAGGUUGAGUUACUGCAAGCAUGCCCAAGGUUGAGCUCCUUCUGAUCUCAUCCAACGAGGCUCAUGUUGAGCAGCCCCUAUAUGACGUAGCUAAGUCGAGCAACAUGGAGGGGGCGCAUGAUGCAAUUCGAGAUCAAGACGAUGUUUUGGUGUCAAAGAUAAUUCCUUUACCACCGUACCAAGUAUACACAUACAUUUUAGCUACUAACACAAACAUACAAGAGAUGUCAAUGCACCCAACAUCUGAUUAGCCCAAGUCAAGCAUGUCGAAGAAAAAACAAUCUCAAACCUAACCAUGGAUGAGACGAAUUCUUGCAAGGUUAGCCCGAUCAACCUAUAGCUAACAGGAUGGAUAAAUCAAGCAUAAUACUCACGACGACACCUGAGGCGUAGCAGUCGGUAAGUAGGUUGAUGGGGCUUUUAUUCGGUUCAAUAGCCUAUUUGGACCAAGUUUUGAUUCCUAUAAUUUGAUACAAUUUUAUCUCCAAAAUCAAUAACCCUCAAUGAAUGAAUAUAUACAAUUUUUAAUAUAAAAAAAAAACAAUAAAGCAUCCCCAAGUUGUAUAUCACGCAGGUCUCAUCCACCAUUUACGAAGCAUUUUUUUGAUACUACAACCUGUGGAUAUAAUAUCACCACCGAGACGGACAUAAACGUAGGUGGAAGAUGAAGUAGGUACAGCGAUCACAAAAUACUUUUUCAUAUAUCAAUCAGAUUGUGAAAUGCAGGGUACAUGUGUAGCAAUUGCAAUUGCAACCGAUGCAAAUAAGUAAAUAGCUAAGAGCCUUGGACGAGAUGAUUACCGCCAAGCUUCAAGGAUCAGAUGCUGCAAUGAGUGAAUUGAAGACUGUUGUUCCCAGGAAAAUUAGCCCAGCUACUCCGUGUAUACCUCCCCAAAAAAAUAGAAACUGUAACCUUACCUUGGAGUUCUAGAGAGAGAGAAAGAACACUGCUGUACCACCCAAAACUAUUUAAGUCCCCUCCUCCCCCCAGCUAAAAAGGGAAAAAGAGAGGUAAAGAAAAAAAAGAAGAGAUGCUCUACUCUUGUUCGGUAGAAUUAUGCAAUGUCGUUUCUUCUUCGUCGAUGUAUUCUUCAGUCAGUGACUGAUCGACCUCUGGUUCAAUCAUGAGAGGGCCUUGAGGAGUUCCAAAAAGCGCAGAGAAUAUUUGCCUGUGGCAGUCAUCACAAAAGCAGAAAUACGACAAGUGUCCUUCACCAAGCAACCUGUGCAAUGUUGCUCCUGGAAUCAUCCGUCGAGCAAAAUCAGUCAUCGAUGGUGGCACCACAUUGUCAUCCAUCCCCUGGUUAUAACUCCAACAUUUAGGAGAGGACAAAUAUGCAGCAUGACCAUUUUAAGUAUGCAGAAAUAUGAAAACUUUUCAAGCAAUGAUGAAAGUGGACUGGAUGCAAAUUGUAUAAAAAAUUCUAAGAGCUUUGAACGUGACUGCAUAUCGACCUCAUGUUGAGUAAAAAAGGUUCGUCGGAUGUUAAGCAGGAUAAGUAUCGCUCGCAAGCUAACAAAUGCACCUGAUUCCUAAUGUGAAAAAGAGAAGAAAACACAGACCUGCCAGAUGUGUAUAGGGCCAGGAAAGCCUGCCCACUCGUGUUCAGCCUGACUAUAUAGUGACUUGAGCCAUGAGAGGAGGCCUUUUCCCUGAUGCUGCCUCUGCACUUGUAGAUCAGCCAAACUGAAGCCCCAGUUUGAUACUUGAAGUACAGCUUCCUCAAUGAAUGGUUUGGGAUUUCCUUGACGGACAGAUUCACUCACAUCCUUCUCCCAGAAUUCCCUAAAAGUUGGCUCUUCCAAUAAAGAUUUAUCCUAGAUGCAUAAUACAGACCAUAGAUAUCAAAUGAAAGAAAUGGGUAAAGACUCAUAAAAAAAUAACAAAGCAUGUGAGCACCCCCUUCAACAAAUUCAAAAUUUUAACUAUUUGAUUCAGUUUACAAGAUUGUCAGGUACUUCAUUGAUAAAAUUGUAGAUGACAAACAAUAGAAGUCAAAACAGGAACAUGAGAUGAAGAAAAUGAUACAAAAUGUCCGAGCAUGAAACAGUAAUGUAGUUGUAAAACCAAACUGUCACAUCAUACUACCAGUUCCCUGAGGAAUUUGGUUAUUGGUUUACAGAAUAGUUGGGACAUUCUGGCUUGUUUUUGUAGCAGUAGUUGUUGCUGUUGAAUAUGGAAUGCUAUGCACCUGCCCACAGCAAAGCUAACAGAAACUAGAAUUUUCAAAACAUGCUAGAAUGUUGCGAAUACAAAAACAUUUAAAGAUCAACAAAAAAGCACUGGCUGAGGUCUCUAAGAAUAAAGGCGCCAUUUGAAAAAGUCCAGAAAUGAUCAUAUUGACAUGGAAAUUGUGAUGACAAAAUCAGAUUUUUUUGACUUGACAAAUAAGAAGAUUUUUUUUCUGCAAAUAACAUUUGAUAAGAUAAUAAUAGAAAAUUAUGAGAUGUAUUGUAACAUUAAGCUUCCAGAAAUUCUAUCAAAUUUCAGAAAAAACAACUAGUUAGUGGGAAAUUUUUUUAGAAAAACUAUAAAUAAAACUAGGCAUACCUUCUUACCCAGUGACAAUGACAACCACUUCUCAGGCUGACCAUAUUCUCCAGACAAAAAACUUUUGUGAUAAAAAUAUGAAAGAAGAGAGGGAAUCCUCCGAGCCAAAACAAACAUUAACUUCCUUUUCAUAGUCCACUUAUCCCAAAUUUUAUGAAUUUCCUCCUUGUUCAGGCUGGAGUCAUACGGAUUGGCCAUUGGAGCAAACAACGCUACACCUGAAAUCACAAAUAUGAGACAGCCAAGGAGUGAAGUAAACCAACAGACAGAGUAAAUAUUGCAUCAUCUUUUCAGAUUAGGGGCUUCCUCUUUCUUUGAUAUUUUAUAUCAAACCAAAAGAUCAUUCCUACAAACAAAGAAGUCAAUUCCGUGAUUUGAUAGCAUAAUUAUUAACAAACACCUACUACAUAUCCAUUAUUAAAGGAAUGAACAAGAAAUUCUGGAUGGAGGCAAUGCUACAUCAUUAAGAUUUCUGGCUUAAAUUAACUAUGUGAUUAUAUAUGAUCAAUCAGUCUCAAAUCCUGUGAACAAGUAUCAUACAUGGCUUAAAGGAAUGAUCAAGUAGCAUAUAUGAAUAUUCAAUCUAAAAUCCUGGGAGCUGUAUACCUGCCAACAUUAUAAACUGUCUUUUUGCUUUAUAACAGAAUUUCCUUUUUUAACUUUAGUGGUCACAAUAAGACAGUUUUCAUAAUGGUCUCAGUCAGACAUGCCAUAGAAUCUUAACACUGGCCCUUGGUAUUACUACCUUAGUUCCAUCCUGAAGACCAUUCCUCUCCCAAGAUUCUCUGCAAUCAAUUGCUGGGAUGGAAAUUGUUCCUCCAUUACAAUUAGGUCUGACUUCACAAUUUGUCAAAGUCAUCUAUAGAACAUAAAAGCAAUGCUUCAUCCAGCACUUGCUAACCUAACAUAUUAUGAAAUAAAGGAUCGUUGACAGAACAUAUUCUUGAUUGAACUAGUGUUUGAAAUUCCCAAAUAUUCUCUGCCAUGGUCUUAAGCUCUUCACAAACCUUUUGCUGAUCAUCCAGCAUAUAAUAAUUUGUAAUCGCAUAGCAUUAUCAUCCGAAGCCUUCUGCCAUUAAUUUGAUGUUGGCAAAAGAGCAUCAUUAGACAUCAAGGAGUCUGCACGGACAUGACUAGCAAUUUAACAUGAAUCCACUUAAACUGGUGUUAUGUUUCCAUCAAGCAAGAGAUUGACUUACCCAAAUGGAUCCGUUAGCUGCUGGAUAUCAGAGAGCAAUAUCUAAAACUCCCCUGGACCAACAAGUCUUAAUAAAAAGGGAACAACAAGUUCCAAUAUACGGAUCAUUAUUCAUCCCAAAUCACAAAAGAACAAAUAAUUCAAGUGAUACUCGUGGUAUUUGCUACAGUUUCAGAAAGCUAGGUCUAUGUACUAAAAACUAACUACAGCUCUCAUCUUAAAGGGAAUAAUAAAACACAUGAAGCACUAAGAAGAAACAACCUGUUUAUACAUUACAUCUCAAAUUAGAUCAGAAACAUUCAAUAUUGAUUUGCAGUCACAGUCACAGAAGUAACAGCCCUGGAAAACUUUAGCAUCUACAGAUGUGAAAGGGUAAUGUAAAAACUGUGCAAGAACUAUACAAACAAAAGGUACCUGCUAGUCUGUCAGGAAUAUAACGAACAGCUGCCCAUGCAUGCAUGGCUCCACCAGAAUAACCCACUACCCAGAAUUUGUCUGUAACACCAAGAGCAUUCGCCAAAUGAAGCAUAUCCAUAGCUGAUGAGUUGAGAUUCCUACUGAGAUGAGGAUCACUUUCACCAAAACCUGGAAGAUCAUAAGUAACCAAUCGAACACCAAAUUCCUCUAAGAGAGACUCUUUAACGCCAGGUAUUCCUAUAUAAGUAUAGAAAGACAAGUUAGUUUAUAAAUUGAAAAACAAGGCAUGUUUGAGGGUUAAUUACAUUAUCUAUGAAACGGAAGAAAGGAGGAACAGGUUGCACCUGCAAAACGAGAAGAAAGAAAAGAAUGCGGUGCAAUCAUGCAGAAUCUAGCACUUUCAGCUGGAACUCCCUUUUCUUGAUACGCAACAUAUCUACCAUCUAGAAGUUGGAUGCGGCUAGCACCUGGAGGACUUAUAUACAGCUUCCUUGGCAGUUCAACAGAAGUCUCAUUUCCACUAUUUACACUUAGUACUGCACAGGAUUUUUGGUCAGAAUAAAGAAAACAUGUUAUAUGGAUAAACAAAUAUUAAGAAACUGUAUAUUAAAUGGACCAAAUGGAACUUAUAUGCACAGAUUUUUACUGAUGAUGUCAGUCAAUGACACAUAAUGUUUUAUUAAAGACAGUAUCAUAAUGAUCAUUGAAAUGAGAGUUGUACUAGCUAGCAAAUAUUGUAUGGAAUGAAUUAAUUGUAAUUUUUUUAAUCUUUCAAGCUUGAAACAAACCCAUUUUGAAAAAGAAUUACAAGAAUUCCAUGGAGUUUAAACCCACAUUCUUGUCCAUAUAUGUUGUGUAUUAAUUCUUGAGGCUGGUUGUAGGCCAAAUCAGGCGCUGGUUGCCACCUUGAAAUCUUUACCAAGAUAAAAGAGGAAACAAUAUACACAGAAAGGUUGUAGAAUGUUGGAGACGACAGGUACGAACACAAUUUUAAAAUUAAAAAAUGGAAAUUUGAUACAGGUAUUAGAUACUUGCCUUAAAAAAGAGGAAUUACAUGAUACUAAUUGAACACCAAACAAAUUUUUUGAUUGCAAAAGUCACGCAGCAAGACAAACUUUAUAAUCUGAUGAAAUUAAAGAUUAGUUAUCCGGACAGGACUGACCAGGUUUGGGUUAGAUAAUUAUGAUAUAAUAGUGAAAAAAUUAGCAUAAGGGAAAAAUACAAUCUUUAACCAAAACUUUCCGAGAGAGUCCAGGAGGGUAACAAGUUAGGGAAACUUGGAAGAAACAAUUUCAAAUUCUAUUGUACAAUAAUAAGUUUACAGAUGACAGACAUCAAUACAAACUAAAAGACGAAUAUGUAUCAGAAAAAUGGGAGGAAAUAACAUUAUUGGCCAACAAAAUUACAAAACCAAGUUCAACAUACAUGAGAAAUUCUAGUCCUUAUGCCCAUGUACACAUCUAAAAGUGAACUAUCUGCAAUGGUCCUUUAUGCAGAAUUUGUUCUAUGGAUAAUAGAAUACCUUUUUUCUAACACAGCAAGUAAUUGUGAAUUGAAUGCAUGAAGUUUCUUGGUGUUCUUAGUAUAAUUCCUUAAGAUCCUAGUAAAAUCAAACCAGUCUCGCCAAAAUGCAUACAAGAUCAUCAAGAACACUAGAAAUUGUUACCGAGAAGAGCGAGAAGAAAGACCCCGACGAUGACGGACCAAGCAUGCACCGGAUCCCGAUCCUCCGGCAGGUACUCGUUCAAGAACUCAAGCCGCUGCGACGCCACAGUCCAAUGCCCCUUGACCUUCUUCCCGACGUAGGUCUCCUCCACUCCCUCCAGGCUCUGCUGCGCGAUAUCCCAGCACCCAUGACCGAGCUCCCGCAGCAUCUCCCCCGUGGCCAUCACGAACCCCGUCAACUGCUCCUUCAAGCUCUCCUCGGCCGCAGCCCCCGUCCCCUCCUCGUAUACGCCGUAAUAUCCCUUCUCGAAAACCCUCCCGCCCAGAUCCCUCGCGUCCCGCUCCUCCUCGUCGGCCUCCGGGACGCCGGCGCCGUACCUGAUUCCGGUGUCCUCCACCAGGCUGGCCAGUUCAUCCUGCCAUGUCAUCCCACCGCCGCCGCCGCGCGCCGACGCCAUCGCCGCUGCCCCCAAAUUUUCCUCACUCGUGGGGACUAGACAGGGAGUGAAAGAGUGGCGUGGUUUUGAAGCAAGAUCGCGAAGCGGCGGAUGGACGGACAAGAUUUUACGGGGAGUAUCUCAGGGCCACACCGAUAUCCCGGUGGCCGAGGGCGCCAACCGCCAUUGAUGGCAAGCGGUCUUCUUCUUCUUCUAACUCUUUCCCUUUCUCUCUCUUAUCCUCGAUCGCUCGUUUGAUGCCACCACUAAUGUCUCGGAGUGGGAAAGAAAGGGCAGGGGAAGAUCUGAGAGCCGCCACUUGGGGGCAAGAAUUGGACGGCGGCGACACGUGGAACGGGCCGGCGACGACGGUCAAGAUCGGUCCACGUCGGACUUCGGUCAGCUCCAUGCGCGUACCGGUUACGCUUUAGGCAUGUGCCGGGCGGGUGGCCCACCUGCGGUUGCCGGUUUUGCCGGUCGGCUCCUCACGGAUCCCGUGCGCCCAGUGGAGGCACGUCGAAGGCUGGGUUCCACCUCCCUCGGCGUACGUGUCGCGUUGUGAGACGACAACCUCGUAGUUCGUGUCUGGGAUCAGGGGAGGGGCAGCAAGCGACGGGAAGGACGUGCGGAAUAAAAAUAGGAUUCCGGGUGGUGGAGGCGCGUUGAGAAGCGUACCGUUGAUGGAACACGAGACAGCGUUUAUCACCAACCAAUGACGGUGCUAACAACCGUUCAAUCUAGAGCGGCAUCGGUCACGCGAGGACAACUACGUUCGGUGAUGGGUCGUUCUCGCCGUAGGAUCAGCGUUGCGCUGAUGUGAUUGAUCGAGAGCGACGAUUGAGGGGUCACAUCGGAGUGGUGCGUGGAAGUAUUCUAUGUAGAUGCUGAGUCGGAGUAGGUGGGUUGAUGAUGAGGAUUAGUGGGGUGGAGGUGACCUCUUUACACGACCACGGUGGUGUGAUGACGACCUUUUGGUUGGGGCUGGAGAGAUAAGAAGGAAUAGGAUGGUCGUUGGUAAGUCUAUGGGAGAGGCAAAGAAAGGGAGAUGGCGUGGUAGUGGGGGCAGCGAGUAGGUUUGCACGUUCACGUCAACCACUUGUCUCUCCCAAAAGCCGUUUGGUUCACUUAACUUUAUAUCCAAUACAAACUGUGAAUAGUAGUAACAUUACGUGAUAUAAAUGAAGCAAAACUAUGCGUUUCUGCACUAAUUUAAUACUCCAUAAGUGAUAAAGGAUCCCCACGUAUGUUCAUCAACAACACAUCACAUGUUUUUGCUUGUCUUUUACUCGCUUCACUAUCAAGACCAUUAUUAGCCUUACGAACACGACAGAGCCAAUCAAACCUACCAUCGAUUGCAAGGAUCUGCAAGCCUGUCAUGCCAAAUUCGAAAUCCAGAUCGACUCUCGAUCAACAUCCAACGGUGGGCUUUUAUGUCGCGGGCCAACUUUGGGCAAGGCGAGAAGCCCAUGAACCCAACUUGUUUGCAUUUGGUGGUGCUGCGGACCUGAUCUUGACCAAUUGAAAUCAACUCAGAUUGAUUGCGUCCAAUCUUGGCUGGUCUAACCGAGUCCGAAUCAAGUCGAUCAUAUGCUUUCUUUGAUUGUACGCUUCUGUUUUCUGAAUCAGUUGAGUCAAGAAACUUUAGGAGGUUGAGAAGUCGGAUCAAUCGCAGGGGCCCAUCAAUUAAUUAGAGCCACCGCCCUUCCCCGGUUUGCGUAUGGCGCCUUCUCCGCCGUCCGCUUCCACCAUCCGACGGCUAGUGUAUUGCCGUGUCGGGUCCGUCGAUCUGGAUCAGGCAAAACGAACGGCCCGCACUGCUAGUCGUGGUUUGGUGUGGAGAGCAGGGAUGCAUUAUGAUAUCACGAAUCUUGAAGAUAUAUUAUUUAUAACAAUGGACAUGAGCACCGUCGAUCGUAUAGAUCUGACGGUCGUGAUAAGCUUAUUCUUCUCCGACCCAUUUGAACUGAACCGUCCCCAUCUACAGACCAGUUCGGGGAUCCGCGCUACCCGGACGGAGAUAUGAGCACUUCCGCCGCUCCGUCGAGUUCAUCCUCCCCCAGCUUAAACGUCACUGGUAUCGCCGUUCCCGCGACAGCCAAGGACGACGUGUACGUCCCGGUGGAGAUCGUGAGCGAAGAAGAGAUGGCGUUCCUCGAAGCCGCCCUCGCCUCUACCCGUUCCGUCCUUUCCUCUUCCCCCUCCCCCUUCUUCUCCUCCGCCUGCUCUUCUGCCUCUCGCUUCGCCCUCCUCUCCCCGCUGCCUUCGGGCCUCUCUCACUCCUGCCGGCCUCAAUCCUUGGCCACGACGCCGAAUAUCGAGGAUUUCGUCCCGCCAAGAUCCUCCCUUCUUCGUCGAUUUCGGUCUAGGAGGGGGCUUUCGGUCACUGACAUCAUCGGCACGGUAGGUUUAUUGCUUUUAUCCAUGCUGUAGACAAAGAUUCGUUUUGUCCCCUAUCUUUCGUAAGACGGCUUUUGUAGCAGUUGUUCAGCUACUUUGGGUCGCAGGAUUAAUAAAAAUUGGGAUAUUUAGUGUCAUCUUAACAACUAAGAUGAGAAACUGAAACCAUAUUCUAUUGCUGAUUACGGAUUUAAUGUCCCUCUCAUCCGAUAUGUUUAUGUUGUUUUAUGAUCUCAUUUGAAGACCCGUCAAUGCUAGGAAUGGUGUGAGAAGCAAAUGGAGUUUGCCCUUACCCAUGGAAAACCAAAAAGAACUGUAGCUAUGAAAGCUGGCUCAGAUCGCCAUAGCCAACUCGAAAAGGAGGUGAGUCAAUCAACGGAGACUAAGAUGCAAAAUUAUUUAUGGUUGUGUAACUUCUAGUCUCCCUUUUAUAUAGUGGAUCAUGUAUAAUGAUGCUGAUUGCUAAUCUCGAGAAGCCAUGUCUGAUUUCUUGUUGCAAUGAUGUAGAGGCGUAUAUCCUAAUAUGCAUACCACACACACAUGUUUAUGAUGAUAACCUAUGCAUACAGAAUUAAAUUGAGAAAUUAGAUUAUGCAUUUUCAUAGUCCUUGGAACACCAAUGUGCUAAAAGCUUUAACAUGAGAAACUGAGAAAGUUCCUUAGGUUAUCUUGAUCAAGAGGGAAAAUGGUCUAUCAAAAAUCAAAAUAUUAUAGCACCCCUUCUAUUCUCAUACUAUUAAGUUCUGUAAAUUGAUUUCCAAUUUGGUGAUAAAUCUAACAUUCAACUUUCUAUCACUUUCUCAUUCUUCUUCUGUCUUUUUAGGUGGUAGGCAAUUGAAAUAUCUUUCACUUGAAAACAGGUUGUGGAGAAGGUAGAAAUUCGUACUGAGUCUGUCGAAGAAUACUGGGUGAUACAAUUGAUGAACUUCAUUGUGGGAGCACACCAACUAUUAUUUGAAGGCUUAACUCGUGAGCUUCCUGUGUAUGUCUAUGCCUUCUUCUUAAAGCUAAUUUGGGGGUGUAACAUUGAGUAGAUCAGGAUAAUUAUGUCUCUCUUCUCAUGAUUUUGGUAACCUUUUCUCUUUUUGUUUUUUUCUUUUCGAUAUACAUGCUUUUCAUUGGUGUAAUUUAAGAUCAUCAUGGCAUGGCACAACUUUACCAUGAAAUUCUCGAUUGCUUGAACAUCAGAUCUUUCACUUGGAAGAAAAUCUUCAACAUGAAAUUCUUUAUUUGAUAUCCUUGUAUUUAGAGGUGGGUUUCUCAAAGUUAGAUGUGACUAGGUUCUUUUCUUUCUUGUAAAUGAGAUGUGGCAUUUUGCUUCAGAUAGUUGUAUGGCCAAGUAUUCUUUAUAUCUUAUGCAACAAAUUAAUGGAUUAGUUGAGAUGUAUUUUCGUAGAUGUUUUCUAAAAGCGGGAGAUGCAGAAGUGAGACAUCGCUUGAAGCUUGGGGAUAUCUGCUUUUGGAAACCAAAAUUUCUAUUAUGGUGACAAGAUGUGCAAAAAAGAUUCAAUGCCUUAAACUUCAUAAGGACCCGAGUAAGAUAGCAGGAGACGUAAAAAAAUAUUUAUGGAGAUCAUCUGAAAGAACAACAAUCUAGCUACAGUUGUAAGGAUAAUAAAUUCCCUUCACAAGAGUUGGAAGUUCUCCAUUGUCAUGAUUAAUCUUAGGUAGAUGCAUGGAGGAUUCAUUCAUUUGAUAAUAUGGACAAUCUUUCCACUUUAUUAGCACAUAAAUGCAUAUAUAGGUCACUCUCGCAUGGCCUUUGGGUCCAUUUAUGUUUUAUAAAUCUAAGAAUGUAAUCACAUUUCUGAUGGAUGGUAUUGACAUUAUAUUAUUUCAGAGUAGGGAUUAUUGAAGAUACAUGGAUGGUGGGAGUGAUUGAUGAAAUUAGAUUGUCAAGAGAUGAAGAUACUGUUUGCACCUUCUUAGUGGAUACAAAGACACGCUAUAAAGCAACGGUGCCUUCGGAAGCACAAAGGAGAAAUGCCAGGUGACCUUUUGCAAAUAAUCUUACUUCCACCUGCCAGUGCUAUAAUUAUACAUAUGUAUCAGGAACCCUGUGUCAUUUGUAGCAUCACAGCUUUUCUGAAAGGGUUCUAAUAAUUUCUCUUUGUGAAAUAACAUAUGAUGAAUGUCAAUUUUGGAUUCAUUUUUCAUGAUUGUUGUGGCACUUCCCCAUGACACAUUGUAUGGGGACCCCAUCCUCUCCAAAGGUAGGAGACUUGCAAAUCCAGAGGUAGUAUUUGAAUUAUACAACUUCGUAAUGGAGAUUUUAUCUGGUCAAGUUCAUCUGAACCAGUUACAAUUCUUUUGUAGAGAUGAUUCAGAGGCUCUCUUAGCUGUACACAUGAUUCAAAUGUUUAAUCAGCAAAUAUUACAAUUUCUGACUUAUAACUUCUCUAAAUGGACCCAUGUUGGUAGAUUAAGAAUAAGGUUUUAUCAAGAUAAGAACCUUCAACUGCUUUAUAAUUAAGCAAUCAUGCAAUCAUCAUCAACCUUUUCUUUAUCAUGGAGUUAAAUAUAGGGUAAAACUCCUAAGUUGAGUAGACUUGAGCAAAUUCUACAUCCUGCCGACUUCCAGUCUCAAUAACUAAUGCCAAACAGCAAACUAAGACAAAUUUGGUGGAGAGACCUAAAUAGAAGAUUUUGUACUAUGAUACUAUCUGUAAACUAAUAUUAUGGCAUGAUUGUCAUGUCUAGUGCCAGUAACAGAGGUCUUUCAGAUAUUACACAUAAUACUCAUACAAUGCUAAUUAUUUUGGCAUGGAAAAAACAAAUGUUAUAGUAGUUUUAUUAGUGAAAAUUAGGUGACUUUCAUGACUUCUGGCCAUAUUAGUUCUACCACAUGGUACUUGAUUUGGUCUCUUUAGUCAUUCAUGUAUGUAUUUGAUUGCUUAGAAUAUUAUCUCAUCAAAAAGCCUAUUCUGCUUUCAGUUUCACAUAAAGUACAACUUCGUUCCAGGCCUUUUACCUUAAGAUUGAAUAUGGAGCAUUGCUUUUUCAGAGUCCCAGAGGCAUUAGGAGGUUUAAAGGAUCACCACUUUCUUCUCUUCUCUCUCUCUUUCUCUCUUGCUUAUGAAUUGUUAAAAAAGGAAGGGUGAGGGUGUUGCUUGUUUAGGAGAAACUGACCACAAUUUAAUGACUGACUGUCCAUCUGCCACUCAAAUUUGUACAAUCACCCAUCCAAGAACAGAUAUUUAAAGAAAACAUUUCCCAAUUGAUUUGAAUCUCCUAUAUCUUCUGAUCUUUGGAAUUGUGAGGCUAACAUGCAUGGGCUUUCUCUUAGAUAGGCAUGGUAUCUUUCAAUUACUGAAUAAACUGUUUUAGUCACUAUGUCAAGUAGUUACUAUCUCUGCUGAUAACAUUUCCUUGCAGUUAUAUGAGUAAUAAAAUUUCUGAGUGCUAAUUGAUUUGUGAUUGUAGGCUCCAGUUGAUGUGCUAUAAAUACCUUUGGGACAAUUUGGUUACCACUAACUUCCCCAUGGAAGAAUUCUUUGAUCAUUUUAAGCUGAAUCGCCUAUAUAUACUGUCUGGAGAUGUCAAGGAACACAUUGCGUCAUUAGGCUUUGAUGUAAAGGUAGAACUUUCUUUUUAUGAUUUAAAAUCAUGAUUAGUUUCUUGCAACGUUUUAAGAUGAGCAAUUAUCACAUGCAAACAUUAUUGUGAUUUUUGUUUAUUUAUAUAUGUUUUAAGCUAACUAAUAUGUGUGUCAUUUAUUCAGCUAUAUACCCCAUUUCAGUCAGUAAGUAUUUAUAGCAAUGCAAUAUACUUUUCCUGAAUGAGACUUGUGAUAUCCUCUUAUCCUGAUUCCAAGCAUGGUAUACAUGCCUCUGGUUAUGAAAAAUGUAACUUUCCUGGUUAAUUAGUGUAUUACUUUGUCUCCUUCUUAUUCUGUUUAAAUAUUUUAUCAAUAACAGUUUGAAAGUCUGAUGAUAGCUUUCUCUUUUUUUCUUGGGGAACUUGAUAUGAUGUUUUUAAUUUGGUACCUAACAGAUGCUCGAAGAUGUGUUCACUUAUUUUCAAGACACUUCUUGUAUGCUUUCCCUAUCUCAUGAGCAGCUUCUCCUGAGGUAGCUGUCACAAGAUUGACUUGGAUGUAGUGUCUAUGUGAAUCUCAGUUGUAAACAUACCGAUGCAUCUAUCUUCUCUUUAUCCAGAUAUGAGUUGCAAUCAGAUCAUUCAUUACUGGGGGAAGACUCUUUUCUGUAUGAUGCUGGUUGGUUUCAGAAACAGAUACACAAGUGCCUUGAGUUUUGGAUGGGAGAUAGGGAAGCCAGUUUUGUCUCAGACGAUGAGAAAUGGAAAUGUAACUUUUGUAAGUUCACUUCCAUAUGUCCUCUGUCAGCUACUACCUCCAGAAAGAGUGCAAAAUAGGCAUUUUCAUGAAACCAGGUCUUUUUGUGGAGUUGAAGCAAACACUCAUCCACUGAUUUGUAACACAAGAUUCAAUUAGCAACCAUUUCUAAGUUAUCCUACGAAGUUCAGUUUGUAGCUUGGCAUGGACCGAGGCUGUCACUGACAAAGGUGGUGCUUCAAGUCUGCUAUAUAAUCAUUUUUGUUCCAUUACAAGUUAAAAACUAAUUACUUUGGAUUCAUAAUCUCAUUCAUUCUUCGAUUACAGAUGAAUCGGUGCUGGCGAUACAGAGAGCCAAGUGAUGUGCUUUCUGGUCUAAUAGUUCUCAUUUCAGCUGACCAUGAAGCCACCUCUGUGAGUGCUGCUUCUGUCCCUACAAAAUUUCUAGUUAAACACUGUUGUCUAUUUAUCACCUCAACUAUAGUAUGGUUGUUCUUUAUUUAUGCUUUGUGAGGAAAUGCAAUGAAGGCUCAGUAGUUUAUAAAAUUCAUUAUCAUAUAUUGUCUUUUCAUAGCUUGUUUGAAAUUUCUGUAUGUGCUCAAACUUUGUGUUCUUCUCUACAAUACAUAUGUACGUUGUUUUGUACAUUUUUCGUAUGGUUUGGGUUUGAAUGAUUAUAUUGGACUUAUAUAUCUCUGUUUUGGCCAAUUUGGCUUAGCAUCCUUAGCUUUGUUAUGGGGCCGUAAGUACAAUGUCAUGUUGCAUCAUCUCCUCAAUUUUGUCAAAAUAAAAUUUUGCCUGAUUUGUGUAAACAUUGCACAAUUACUGUGUUCCGAUCAUUAAUAUUUUUAACAAAUUUAAUGUUUUCUUAAAAUAUUUUCCUGAUGAAGAUUCAUAAGAGUGAAAAUUUUGAAGAAUGGGGAUAAAAAAAAAAAGAUCUUGUAUGAAUAUUUUCUGAGUAGAAACUUUUCAAGAAAGUGCCAGUUUAGUGAUUGAAUUUGGUUUAAUUUCAAUUGAUACCUGAAAUUAGAUCAAUUAAAUCCAAUAGUUUUAUUCGCAUGAAAUUUCUACAUUUAACAUAACACAAUGCUGCUUAGAUGAGUUUUUAUUUAUUUAUUUUUAAGUAGGAUAAAUGUAAGAUUAACAAUAUAAAUACCUUAGUAAGACCAAGAAAUGCAGUUCUUGAUUUGGGUUUAGAAGAAAUGUCAAGAAACCAAACUUCACUGUGAUACAUACAGUAAGGGAAAAAGAAAGGUCCAGCUACAGUUGGAUAUCGUAUUUGACUCACAAUAGGUUUGGGCCCCCAACGGCAAACUCAUCACACUGCCUCAUCCCUUUCAAUGCAGAGUCUCAGUGCCUGAGAUGACAGCCAAGUUGGGGCUGGGUGGAGAAGUGCCUUCCCACCCUUCCCUUCCCUUUCGUUGACACCAGGCUGAGCGGUCAUUUCAUGACAGUGAAAGCUCAGGAACUGAUGAACCCACAAGCCCUACCGUUUGUACCACCAUGUCUGCAUGAAGAAGAAGAAGAAGAGGAAGCGAAGUUUCACUGGUUUUUGGUGGGAAACAAUCGACAAGGGUGCGGAGAAGCCGCGUGGGGGCCUCAGUGCACGUAGUAGCAGUGUGCAGGUGUACAUGCAACCGCAUUUGUCUUGGGAGUAAUCAUUGUCAGUGACCAAAAGAGGGUGUCGACAGGGCACCGUUGGUACUAUAACUUGACUUGGUGGUGGCGAUAGUUCUUUUCCGUCAGUGAGUCGAUGAGGAAGUCCAAUGUGUGACACAAAUUCAAAUUUAGGAGGGUGAAGCUACUUCUGGUAGAUAGGAAAAGUGAACCACUACGAAUGACCUCCCUGAGACCUGAGUAAAUGAUAGGAGUGAAAGGUCUUCAAGCUUGAUCAUUCUGUAUGGUUGAUGAGUUUGGUCCACACGGCGUCCACAAUAAGAAGUUGUCGACCAUGUGAAGCGAGAUAGAAAAUAAUUUUACAUAGUGGUUUCGCUUCAGAUUCGGGGCUGUGUCCCUCUUCUUGGCUCUUCGGAGGUAGGUCACGGAGAAGCCCGUGUCACAAAACUAAAAAGAAUGAGAUCAAAUACAUGGAUUAAGUCAUAAUUUUCCUUAUCCUAAGGACGGUUCCGACUAUGCAAAAUUAUAAGUCAUGAGUUAUUUUUAUUAUUAUUAUUAUUAUGAGGGUGAAUUUAUAAAAAAAAAAACUCUUUAUCAGAGAGUACCCCAACUUUAAAAGAUUGCUAUAUAAUAUUUUUUUGUAAAUGAUAAUUUUGCCCUUGGCUCCUGUCGGACCCGUCUCCACCUUCGCUCUACAGUAUUGUAUUGCCUUCGCCACCGUCUCUCCUCUCGUCUAUUUUGUUGGAUCUACCAUUGCCUUUAGCUUCGCUCUUGGUCCUCGUCGGACUUGUCGCCUUCCCCACUUAAUAGGCGAUCAGUGUCGUCGCCCGCAACCCUUGCACGAGGAAGGAGGGGGUACAGAGGUGGCGACGAGUUUGACAAGGGCCACGAGAGUUGGUAGAGACAGUAACGACCUUCGUGCCCCCUCCUUUGCAUAAGGAUCGCAAAUGAGAAUGACAAGGGUUGUCGUCGUCUCCUCAAACACAUUGUUGUCGUCUUAUGCGAGGGUGAGAUAAGGGUGGGUUCGAUGUGAGCUAGCAAAGUCCGUGGAGGUAACGUCAAAUUCGAUAAAGUAGAUGGGAGGCGAGACGAUGGUGGAGGCGACACAAGGGGGAUGAUGCAUGGUAAAAUCGAAGGCGAGUACAAUGAGAGACAAUGGUAAAAUUAUAUGUUUUAACAGGGGUGUUUUGUGAUAAUUUAUCAAAGGGGUUUUUUUUUCUGAAAAUUCAUCCUAACAAUAACAUCAAAAAUUUAUCUCAUAUAAUUUUACCCUUGACCAUAGAUUUCUUGCUCUACAACAGAUAUGAAAUUAAAUAUACUUUUUAAGUAAUAAAUUAUUUAUUAUUGGAAGGGUUUUAAAAAGAAGAAAUUAUUUACUAUUGUAAGAGUUUUAAAAUUACUUAUAAUCCUAUUGACUGUGAUAAUAUCAGUAAUGUUUGGAUCAGUCCAACUUGAUUUAGAGUCGUGUGUAUAAGAAAUCUAGCAUGACUGAAUUCUUACUUGAGAGCUGAUGUGGACUUAGAUGUGUGAUCCAAGGCUAACUUACAUGAAGAUCAAGGAUGGAUGGGUUUUCUGACUUGAUCCCUUCGAUACUUAAGUCAAUAGCCAACAGAAGUAGAGUAAUCUUAAUAAACAGUAGUUAACCUCGAAAGGAUAAAAGCAAAAUAUUUCAAAAAUCGAUGUUUUAAAUUGAUAUCCAUAACAUACAAGUAUUGAUCGAAUUCCAUUUACAGUACUAUCACAUAUGUUGGUAUGAUCUGGAGAAAACAUUUCCCCUAUCAAUAACGAUGAACUUGGAAAAAAUUGUUGGCUUCAAACAUGUGUAACAUCUAAAAAAGAUCUGUCCUGACUCAAAAAAAAAAAUCAAUUUCAAUAUGUACAGUUAAGCACUUUGAGCUAACCAGCUGAUAUUUUUUAAUUUUAUCAAAUGAGUAUUUGAAUAUUUCUACGGGUAGGUGAGUUAUGUACAUCACCAACUAAGGAUAAGAUCAUGCCAAACUGACUACCCUAUACAAAAUGCUUAAUCAAUGACUAUUUCUGAUUCAAGAUCAUUGAAACUUUUAAGCCCCUUUGUCUCAAAGUGCUGUCCUAAUAUUACUUAUUAAAAUUUUAAUACCUAAAAUUUAGUUGAGUAAACGUGUCAACAAAAAAAAAGAAGUUCUAUUACGAGCCAACACGUGUCAAAAAAUUGUUCACGCGAAACCUACACGCGCGGGUGUGUACCACUCUUGGCAACAACGCGAGGCCCCACCUCCAUGCCGACAGGCUCCACGGGACUUCAUCCCGCGAGUUCGGGGGUCGACGCCGUUCCCCUACCCGCGCAAUAACGCGUAGCCUUCUUCUUCCACCACGAGUGAUGUGUGAUGCCAUUCAUGUCCCUUAAUAAUGGGGAGAGAACGAUGGACAAAUGCUGCAUGCAAUUGGCCUCAAAUUUGAUAUUUAUUUCUUACGAUUCUGCUCAUCAACGAGACAUGUUCCGAUUUGGAAGCCAUUUUUCUUUAUAUUGAUUUGACCAGUACGUACAUUAAUUUUUGUUUGUUUAAUUUGACCACCAAAAAAUUAUGAUUUGCAAGUAACAUGUAAAUUAUGUAAAGCACUCGACGUUGGAAUUGGCAAUAAUUAGACAACACACAAGUGUUUUCUUUAUUCACAGUUGCACUAGAGGACAUGGCAGAGAUCAAACCUCACGAAUCAUAUUGAUGACUUCUUUGGUGCAUGAUACAUGGUCCAACAACAUGUUCUUGCUAGCCUGAUGCCCAUUCCAAUCACAUGUUAUGUUGCCUAUACUCUCAUCAUUCCGAAAAGGCCGUAUCUAAAUGAAUAGAUUGUGUCGAUAGAUAAAUUAUCAAGCUAAAAAAAGGAUUUUUUUUUUUUCUAUCAUUCAUGACAUAAGAUCAUGAAAAACCAGUUAUGUAAUAUUUUAUUUUCUUAUUAGAUUCGGCUAAAUAGUCACGUAGGCCACACCCUUUGAAACUUGAGCUGCAGUGGCACAAGUCCUCAAGCUUGGGAAAAGAGGUGGGAGGGGAUCCAAUUUUUCUCUGUCUUCUUGUGCUGGAUUAGGUGGGGGCUCGAUGGACAUCAGACCACGUGGCCAUCAUCGCACAUGAUCACCAAAUACAUGUUCUCCGCCCCGAUUCUUAUGGACGGUGACGUCCAUAGAUCGAUGACAUGUGAUGUACAACCAACCGUCGGAAUUUGACUGCCUCGCCCACACUUGUGCUUCAUUGCAAGUCGUAGCCAUGCAGUUGGCCACAGCAAAUUGGCUCACGUCGACCACGUUUCGGGACCGGUGAGUUAGGUUCAUGUCAUGUUGGAGAUGUGACCACGACGCAUGGAUUGGAUUAGAUGUGAACGACGCGGUUGGAUCCAUCGGAUCCAACAUCGAUCGAAGGAAGCCGCCACCGCUUUCUGAUGAUGGGAAUAUUUGUUCGUUUUGAAUGACCGAACGCCGCGCCAACCUAUCAAACAUCACAUCAUGCGUCGAGAUUCGUGAUUUGUGAUCCCUAUUUUGGAUCCGUGUUUAGUAAAGUCCUUAUUUUGCUUAAGAAGGAAAAAAAAAUUGUCUUUCGUUUCGAAAGCUGCAUUGAGAUGUUUUGAUUUUGUCGAACUGUGUCUUUUUAACUUGAACAUGAAACACGAGGCAUAAUAGAUGUAUUAUACCUAUGUAACAUAUUAUAUACAUAUAUAUAUAUAUAUAUGUAUUUUAUUUAUAUUCAUGUAUAUUAACUGAAGCAUGAUAACAACUGGAGUCAGAUUUUGAUCAUUCAUCUGAUGAAAAAAGAAAAUAGCUAAUCUAAUUUCUUUUUCUUGAUCAUCGAAGUUAGACGAUGUCAGACUUGUUUUCGGUCUUUCUUUUAUCAUAGGAGGACAUGAAUUUUUUAUAGUGUCAUUAGAAUAAGUCUAUAGGUGAAUUAGAUUCUUCCAUCAAUACAUAUAUAAUAUUAUUUAUUAUAAAAAAAUGAUAAUAUCUAAAUCAUUCUAACACGAUUCGGAUUGAGAGUUAACCAUCGAAGUGGCUCGAGAGUUUUCUGACUUGAUCUCUCUCUCGUAUGUUCAUGUCAACUUCAACGAGGGUAGUAAAAAAAUAUAACUUUUUAUUAGACAUAAUAUAGCUUUUUACAACAGAUUGAUAAGAAAGAAUAUUUUAAAAAUUAUUCUUAGAUAAAAUUCUUUAACAUUUCUUUUGGACUAAUGUUAACCUGAUCUGAUUAUUGAUCGAGUUUUUCCUAUGGAUAAUUGAUUGUAUUAGUAUGUGUAUUUUCAGGUGUCGAGCUAUAGUUAGGGAAGAAGGUUUCCAUAUCAAUUUACUAACAAUAUUUUUAUCAUAAGAGUAAUAAUGAUAAUAAUAAUAAUAUUAUUAUUAUUAUUAACUACCUUUGCAUGGUGUAUAUAAUAUGACUCAUGCCAGACAGAUAUUUAAGCUGGAAUACACUAUAUAUAUAUAUAUAUAUAUAUAUAUAUAUAUAUUAAUUUUCUUUUUCCCGUAUAGUAUAAACAAUGAAACGGCAGCGAAGUCUGAACCGCUGAUGUCAGGCUGUCAGCCACGGCCACAAAACGGACCCUGCCGACCAGUCUCUAUAUAUCAGCCAUUAAUUCGCCUGAGCGGCAGCCCCACCAGCAUCCGCGUUCAGAGAAACCCCCAGUCGUUCUCUGCCUCCCUCUGCUCCUGAACUCCCGUCCCCAUGGGCUCCCGCGACACCACCUCUACCAAGACCGCCCUCUACUCCUACUCCCCCUCUCCUUCCUCCUCGCCUCCUGCUGCCGCCGUGCUCAGCCCCUGCGCCGCCUGCAAGGUCCUCCGCCGCCGGUGCGUCGACAAAUGCGUGCUCGCCCCGUACUUCCCCCCCACCGAUCCGCAAAAGUUCACCAACGCCCAUCGAGUCUUCGGCGCCAGCAACAUCAUCAAGCUCCUGCAGGUAACGCAUCAGCCUAGCUCCCAUGCAUGCACGACUCAUGAGCUUUAGUCAUGCCGAUCGCAUGCAUCUUCGGAUCUCAACGCUGCACGCUGAGAUUACUAACGCCGAGAGGGCGCUGCACCCUCAGGACAUUCCGGUGAGCCAGCGGGCGGACGCGGUGAGCAGCAUGGUGUACGAGGCGAAUGCCCGGAUCAGGGACCCCGUGUACGGCUGCGCCGGCGCCAUUUUCCAGCUCCAGAGGCAGGUGAACGAGCUCCAAGCGCAGCUGGCCCGGGCGCAGGCGGAGGCCGUCAACGUGCAAGCCCAGAACGCCAACGUCAUGGCCCUCAUCUGCAUGGGCAUGUCGCACACUCUCCAUGACGGCGCCGCCCUCGCCGUCGACGCCCUCGCGGCCGCUCCUCUGAACGACUCCUUCUCCCUCGAUGACGGCAGCCUGCACGGCGGCGCCGGCGCCGCCAUUUGGGAGGCACCUAUUUGGACAUGAGCAUCGUCUCUGUCGGUAGCAAAUAAAAGCUGUAGAACAACCUGCGUCGCUGAGUGAUCAUAGUUGCAUCGGUAGGCAAACUACUGCGACAGGCUCGGGAACACUUUGUUAGCAUCAGCUUCUUGUCAAGAGAUCGGUAGACUCCUUUGUCGUUAAUACUUCUUCAUUGACAGUCAUCUCCAUCCUUCAAAUCUGAUAAAGACUUGGAUCUAACAUGAACCGCUCUGCCAACCUAUCGUUCCCAUGUAAGGCUAAAUCUCUAAGCUUCAGAAACCAUUGACAGAGUGAUUGAUGGUUAGGUGCAAGUCAAAUCCAUCUCAAAUGGCUCAGAACUCCAAUAUUCUUCUGACACUGCAAUCUACUUUUUGUUUCUUAGCUAGGUUAGUUGAUCUACCGACUCUCUGGAUGAAACACAUGCCCACACAGUCACAGUCUUGACCCGGCAGUAAUCAGAACAAAUGAUGCGUGAGAGAAGCUGAGCUCCAAGUUCUUGACCUCGUAGUACUUAAUAUCUGCAGGCAUUAUGCUUAAGGAGUUCUUUGUUUCUGGCAGAGCUAUAAACUUCAAAGCUGGAAGUGUGAUCAGGCAUCAGUUGAUCUUCCUUCCGUGGUUUAAUGAUGGAAGAUAAGAACAUCCCUUAAUUCAAUUCAAAAACUUCAAUAUUUAGAUUAUAAGUUAUAUUCCAAUAUAUAUCAUCCGAUUCUCAUAUUUAUCAAUGUGAAACUCGGAUAUUUGUUAUCCGACUAUCUCGAUAUUUACUGUCGUAAGAUUAUAUUUUUGAUCUCUCCGACAGAUCGCAGCUUCACAACUACGUCAUAUAUGCUACUGUUGUGAGGUACUACAAAGUCCAUAUCUGCUCUUCAUGUUCCUGCAUAUCCUGUGAGACCACUUGUCGUGCACUCCCUUGAUGGGUUUCAACUUUCAACCACAAGCUGGUGAUGUGGAAUAUGACAUGGAUUGCACCAAGAUUUGAUGCCUGCCAACAGGAAACAGUUUGACUGAUUUGGACUACCAAAUUAUAGUAGUGCCAACAGUCAACAAAGUGCCAAUUGAUCCUGAGAGGAGACAGCAUGGGAAAUGUCAGGUGCCACAAAGAAGAAAGAGAGAGGAUUCUUUCACCCCACUGUUCACAGAUUGUGCUGUUUGGUGAUAGUGUUUCACAUACUGGAGAAUUCCUUAUGCACAAAAAAGUACACUCCAGCAAAAAUAACAAUACAUUUUCCUCCUGCACCAAGUGCCAAUCUAGAACACAUAUGAAGAGUUUAUUUACCUCAAAUGAAUCAUUCACAAAGAUUAAUCCUGCUAUAUGAUCUGAAGAAGUGGCUGAAUUCCCAGCUUAUCUUUGUAAAAAGAUGCAUUUGGUUGUAUUACUCAGCGGAAAAUAUAAGCAUUUGUUUUUUAUUAUACAAAAAAGAAUAAGGAACUCGGAACCCGAAUAUAAAAAGAUAUUUGCUGCAGUGAUACUGAAUGAUAACUGGGCCAUGAUCAUAUGGUGGAGAGCAUAAUUCCUAGCAGUAGAACUCUCUUUUGGAGAAGACAAGGUUUAAGCAUUAACGCUAUUCAUAAGAGGCAGUCUUCCUUAAAUAUGGCUUUUGUGUGUUCCACAAGGACAGAUUUCAAUUUCAAGAUCACAAUCCAGGAAAAGAACUUGAAUUUUGUAGUGUUCUCUAAUUUCUCUAAUUGACAUGGACAUAUCUAAUCUGAUUGGGAUAGAGAGGACAGAUAUCAGGACACAUCAAUUUGACAAAGCUUCAUUAUAUCUAAUGCAUAUAAAAUUGCCAACUAUAAUCUUAAAGGUCAUCAGUUUUGAACCCUGUUUUUGAAUAGAUGAUGGAUUAAGACAAGAUACAACCUGGUCCUUUCGAAAAAACAAAAUUGGAAGCUGCACCACAGAAGUAGCAUCUUCCAGAUAGACUAUAAGUUACAGAUAACCUUCGAGUAUCAUCAAGAAAGCUAUAGUCUGCAAGACAAAACAAAGAUUAGGCUUUUCGUGAUACCUAUCUUUUGUGUAAUGCUGCAUCCCCCAGCAUUAUUUUCGCAGGCCACCGUAUUCGUGAGAGCAGAACAUCUACAUCAUGACCUAGCAAGCAUUUGCUUGUUUAGUCCACCAGGAUGACGACGACAACAAAAAAAAAAGAGAAGAGGAAGCUCGAAUCGACAUACCGUGUAACCAAUAUCACUUGGGGGUUUUUUUCCACAAGCCACCAAUCUUCCUCAGCAUAUUAGUGUUCUUCUUCUUUGGUGAUUCUUCGUCCAGGUCAUCGGAAAAUGGUGAGCUCAUCAACUUCCCAGCAAUCGAACUGUAGUCAGAAUCCAGUGAACCAGUCCUUCCCAUGCGUCCAUCUUCGUGGCCGGAACUAAGCAUCCCCGCAGCUGCUUCAGCUGCCUUCCUCCAUUGAUCGCACUGUAUCCUUAGCCUCUUCAACUCAGAUUCCAUCUCUGUAUUAACAGCUUGAGCUGCAUCAAGUUGCUCAGCUACUCUGGCAGCCUUCCUGCUGUUCUUAUCAGCUUCUUCAGUAACAUAUCCAAGCCUUAUUAGUGCAUCCUGUUCUGCAGCCUUUGCCAACUCCAGCUCAGCAAUAGUGGUUAAGUUACUUUUUCGAUUGUCCACCUCUCUCUUUCCCAUUUCUGAUUUCAGCAUCUCAUUCUCCUCCAGAAUAUUCUGCAGUUCGGUCUCCUUGUCCAUGAGGUUUGACUUCAACUCUGUUAUCUCAUUAGUUGACUUAAUAAGCUUCAGCUCAAAUUCAGAUUGCAUUUGUGCCUUUUGAACUUCUCCAUUGUCUGUUCUCAGUUUUUUUUCGUCUGCUACAUGCUGAAGUUCUGCUUCCUUCUUGAGUAGGUUAGCCCUUAGUUCUGUAAUCUCUGCUUUUGUAUGAUUCAACAGGAGCUCCAGUGCAGCCUCUUUGAGUCCACUUUCACUUUUCACUCGCUCCAUUAACUCAUAAGCAGACCGGAUCUGCAUUGUGCUUUGGAUUUGGUCCGCUUGAUACUUGACUUCAAGAGCUUCUAGCGCAGACCUUAGUUGUCUUACUUCUGAUUCCAUCGAGUUGUCCCUGGUUUUCUCUGAAAGUUUGCCAAAGUGAACUUCCUCACCAAGAUCAUUUGUGUUCAAAUUCUUCACUUCUUCCAGCGAGUUUACUCUAGCCUCGGAGCUGAAGGAUUCCUUGAGCUUCAACCCUUCAGAAUGUAGAGUCUUGAUAGUGGUCUUAGCCAUCUCUAGCUGCUCUCGAGUCUCAUCAACCAAUGUAUGAGCCUCAACCUCCGACUUCUUGCUAUUUCUAAGCUGAACCUUUAGGUUUUCAAUGGUUGAAAGUGUUUCUGCCAUGUCUUGCUUCAAAUCCUGAAGUUCAGUGCGUGCUACUUCAGACUGCUUCAGAUACGCAGCCUCAGAUUUGAGAACCAUUUCAAGCUGCACUUUCAGCCUCUGUAUCUCAUUCAUGGCAGAGCUCAAGGCCGCUGAGUCAAUAGAAUGUUGUUUCUGGAUUGCUUCUAGCUCUGACUGCCAUGCACGAUCACGCUCCUGAGAGAUUUUCCGUAAUUCCUGCAGGCGAGCUUCUUCUGCUGCUGAAAACUCAACAAGCUGGCAUUGGGAAUUAUCUAGCUUGGCUGACAUGUCCUGAAGCUGCUUCUUGGCCUCUUCUGCUUCCUUCUGCAUCCGUUUCUUACAUGUUUCAGACGAAUUAAGCUGUUCUCUUGUUUUCUUCAAGUCCUCUUGAAGCUGGAAGAUCUGAGUAUCCAACUCGGACAACCUAGUAGCAUGCCUCUUCUGGAACUCGUUCAUAAGAUAAUAGCUGAUUUAAUGGUUGUAACAAACAGAAACAGCAUAAUAUAAUAGCAAGAUGGUGAACUCUGUGGGAAAGAUGUUUAGACUUGGCUACCCUUGGUGUGUGAUAGUACACAUGCUGGCCAUCAGAUUUCAAAUUGGAAAGCGAUUGGUGUAUUUAUUUUAAGAAAAAAAGAUUUAUCGGAUAUCUGAAAUCGCAAAGGUGAUGAAAUCUUAAAUUGUAAGCAUUGCCUUUUUGUUGUUAGUAAGAUUGCAGAAUCCUAUUGAAAAGCAGUGAUUGGUGUGGACAUCUGGUACAUAGUGGCAAGAUGUCAAGUAAGGCAAAUGUAAAUGCACAUUACAAAUAUAGAAACUAUUUUGUCAUGAAUGGUUCAAAAUUUGGGGUCGGACAUUAAUGAUGUUCAAUUUCCUUAACAUUUGAAACAGGUUGAGGUAGUCAGUCCUAGAUCCAUGUGUCAGCAAUUACGCUACAGAAUAAUGGCGUUUUGUUGGGAGCCUUGUGCAUUGGGCCACCCUACUUAUGAGUUAACUUGAUAGGGAAUCCAGGGCACCUUGUGGGAGUUUCUAUCAUCCAAGAGUUCGCUGUUAAGUUGACUUGAUAUUACAUUAGAUUAUGUAAUGCACAGUCUGAUUGGUUCCUUCAAAGAUAUGUUAGAAACUUUAUAAAUCUCAAGUUUAAUCAUUUCUCUUUGACUUUAAGACUCCUCCAUGCACGGACAUGAUACCUCAUUUAAACAUUUAAAUUUAGUAGCCAAUUUGCUUGUCUACUCAUGUGCAUCGAAGAGUACAAAUAGAAUGACUUCACCAUGCAUGAAUAUUAUACCUCGGUCACUGGACUUCUAGGUGACCGGCGCACGAUCACCUUAGGACUCCUUUCACUGGGGUUCCUGAUUGAUGUAGCAGAAGUAGAAGAGUUGGAUCCAUUAUCGCCAAUCUUGCUUGCACGAGUUUUAGGGGUGACUGGUGAUGUUCUUUGAGGAAUUUCCAGUGACACGCUCCUGUGUCAAGCAAAAGAACUCAAUUGCUUGUAGAUAUCAGUGCACAUACAGCGUUUGACAGAACAAGUGCAAAAAAUGAUGGUAGAUCACUAGCUAAAUAAUCGCUUUUUGUACUGUUUCCAGGUAAGUUAUGGCACAUAAAUAGUCUAAAUGAAUGAUCAACAAACAAAAGGUUGGUGAAAUGUGAACAAGUUCUCUAAUCCAAAAGUAGAGCACCAAUAAGAAACAAAGGAGCAGACUUUGGAAAGCAGCAAGUGGUUCUCCAAUACAAAAGAACUAAUUAUGAAGCGUGGAUAAGGAUUGAGACACUACGACUUGACAUGGAAAAAGCAAUUAAAAAAAUAUCUAAUAUGUACAAUUGUACGUAUAACAAAGAUAGGCAUUUCUGUUUAGUGUUAGAGUAGGUAGUCAUAUACCAUGAAGCACGUAGCAUUCAUAACAUAUUCAUCAUCGAAAAUCUAAUUCUUAGUGACAGUAUGCCAAAAAUAUAUACACAACAAGAACUUGUGGUCGGUGAAGUUAAAGAUUGUUCCAUUAAUUUCAUCGAUCACCGAUGUUUGGUACGAAUGACAUAUAUGCAAUUUAUCUAAUCAUAUAUUCAUUUAAAGAGUAGCAGUCAAUCAGAACAAAGUUCUCCCAACAAGUAUUGAUGAACCAUCCAAUAAUAUCUUGAAGGUAAUGUGGUCUUCUCAGACACCUUGCGGAGGUGUCCCAUGCAUAGCUGAGAAGUAUCCUGUAAGUAGAGUAUUCAAUUUGUACCCAAUACGAUCACACCAAUCAAAUUGAAGUAUCCAUGUUUCAUAGACCCUCGUAGAAGAACUCGAUAAGAGUCUCACAAAAAGAAAUAUGCUCGAGUAAAGAUCUACAGGUAUCCCCAUAAGUAGCAUAUUCAAUAUGUACCCAAUAUGGUAACACCAAGCAAAUUGAAGUAUCCAUGUUCAUAGAUCCUCGUAAAAGAACUUAAUAAGAGUUUCACCAGAAGAAAUAAAAGGAGAUCCAGGAAGAAACCCCAUAUGCAUCACAACCUUCAUAUCCUUGCAUGACUUUGUGAAAUCAUAAUUAUGAUUCCACCAACCAAUAAACAAUAACUAAAUUUCUAUGAUUGAAACUAAAAGUUUGAGUAAAGAAGCAGAAAUAUUAAUUCUCUUACUCAAGCUUGCAAACAAAAUAUCCUGUGUAAAGAGCUGUUUAAUGAAGCCACAUAAUAACUGCAGAUCUAGGUAAUAAACAGACAGUAGAAGGUACAAAAAUAGCAUGAUCAUAUUGCAGCUAUGACCCACUAAUUCAUGCUUAUAAGAAGUUUGUCGCAGGCAUGCAGGAAGAAGGGAAGAGUCCCUCUUACCACAUCCAGUUCAUAGUCCAGACAAAGAACAGAGUAUACCCUUAGACCCAACCAUGUCAUAGUAAAACGAUCAUACACUAAACUAUGCGAUAGCAGAAGCAAGUAUUUUAUGGCAAAAGUGCGAAAGAAGAAAAGACAGGCCUUUGUUUGGUUGUCUGCAUCUUCUCUCGCUGAGACUGUCCUCCUUUGUCCACAAGCCAGACCUGCAGGCAGGAAAGAACAGAUCGACCAAAGAGAAAGACAUAUCAGGUGAGCUUAUUGUUUGUUGAUUAGCUUGAACAUGAACGAGGUAAAUCUGUCACGUAGACUCCAUAAUGAUGUUGGAGUGCCCAUUCAAGGAAAAAUGCCAGUGAUCAAUCAAUUGAGUCAACAGAUUGCUAACAAGACCACCAAAUGAUGACGACGGAGUAAAGUAUCCGUAGAAAUAAAGAAUCAGCUCAGAAAGGCUGUAUAUUUAGGAGGAAGAUGUCAACUUUACCUUCGAAAAAUUCACACUACAUUACCAACGAAUACGUCCGGAGCCAAAAAAAAAUGAAGGAAACGGGGAAAAAAAAAAUAGAAGCUUUCAAGUUCUCAUCUGAAGCGAUUACAUGACAAACGAGCAAAUGUGGAGCAUAGUUCAUAGAGAAGCAUGUAACGUAGCAUUUGCUUGCUCUUCCGGAAAGCUUCGGAAGAGAUGAACAAAGGGAAAUAGAAGCCGCCGCUAACAUAUAUGAUGCGGAGAACAAAAAAAAGGAACUUUUCCGAUCAAAUCAAAAGAAACCAACAUCAGGAAGUAGGAAGAGCAAAGGCAACAGAAAAUAGAUCUAUUGUUCAAAGGGGGAAGAAAAAAGCUCAGUUUUUUGCCGCACAUUUCCCUGCUUCGCAAUAGAAUGCUGAACAAAAACGAAGAACCGGAUGGAGAAAAACCGGAAAGAUUGGAUCAGCCGGCGAUCUUCCUAGUGGCUUCUUCUUUCUUCUUCCUCCUCCUCCGUCGCAGUUCCCCAGGCCUUCACCGCCUCCUGUCCUCUGCACUCCCCUGAGCAAGUGAGAAGACACGCACUGUUACUAAAGAAUAAUAUAUUGUAGGAAUCACAAGGCGCGAGCACUAUGACUUGUCUGCACCGCGGCCAUGGAGAUUGGAGAUGGACGAGCAACGAGGAGCGUUAGAUUUCGUCGCCGCGCUCGGAGGGAGGCUUACAUUAUAUUGCAUUGUCACACAGCGUCCGGGGGUUACUUGAAGGCGUUGCGGCCGUCGUCACCCGCCUCGCCUACAGGCGGUGCUCACACCGCUUUGUUGACCGCAGGCCUCGAUUUGUCAGCAUCUCAGCGGAGACUGACGACAAGGAUCGGCUCACCGCCCUGUGAUCACCCCCGCGACACUAUGCCUAUUCGAAAUAGACAGUCCCGCAGAAGUGUGCGCGUGCGGGCGUUCGUGUGUACGUGUAAGAGAGAGAGAGAGAGAGAGAGAGAGAUGUUUACCGGUUAAAAGCAAACAUGCGUUUCAAAAUAAGCGUUUUGAAGUGUGAUCUGAUGGAAUUAAUUCUUCAUUAAAAAAGGGGUGUCUGAUUGUAUAUCACUUGCAGUAGCCAAAUUUUUAGCAAUAGUUGCUUAUUUGAUUUGUCAUUAAAAGAUAAAAAAACAUUUAUUAGAAACAUCUAAGUUGAUUAAUAUAUUAUUCAGUAAAUAAUUGAUCUAAGUUUGAGACAUAUAAUAAAUUUUUUUAAAAAAAUUAAAAAAUAUUUAUUUUUUGAUGAUUUUAUAGAUGGUUAAAUCAUCAAACAACACUAAAUUAAUAGAUUUGUUUGAGAGUUUAAACAAAAUUAAAAGUUAUUUUCUUGAUUAAAGUAAAAAAAAAUCUUAAUUCUAACUUCUACAAAUAGGGGUUAAUGUAAUGCAUUGAAUAUAAAUAAGUGAUUUGGUUAUCAAUUUCUCUAUUAAUCAUUAUAUAUAAUUUGUUACUGCAGACAUAAUAAAUUAUGCACCAAUACAAUUGAAAAUAUUGUCAUGUAGUUUUACUCUUUAAUGACACUCAUUUCCAUCUUCAAUCAAUGCAAAAAAAAUGUUUGGUGGUCAUCAUCAUUUGAGGAGGACUAGGGAUCUCAAUUGACUUUGGGGUCCAGUAACCAGCAAAUACAAGCCUUUCUGCUCUCCAAAAACAAGGAAAAUAAGGUAAUUAAACAACAACACUAAGCCUACUUUGUGCUUAAUUCCCAGGUUUUGUAACUCAAAAACAUGUUAUGGCUUCAGCAGCUCAGUAGCAAUUCAAUUGAAGAACUCAGUUGGUGAGAAGCUGAAGUAGCAGACUGACAAUCAACAAAGAAGACAAUUCCUGGAGCUGUAGAUGCAGUGAAAGGGAAUCCAGACUUGCAGCAGCAGCAGCAGUAGCUGUAGCAGUGGAUAUGCUCAGAAGACCCCCCACAUUGGUCAUUUAAGUCCGACACAAGCAGGUGGUUCCUUUCAGAAGAGCUCUGAUCACCCUGACAUCCAUCAGCAAAACAAUUCAUUGACUCUGAAUCAGUAUCUCUUUGAAAUGCCAAUACAGAGUCCACUCAAACAUACAUAAUUACUUGGUGCCCUUUAAGGUGGAGGGGCAAAUGGAAGAAGGUGGGUGACCACAAUGAGGAGAGUGUGCCACAUUCAAAAGGUAAGGUUCCUUGCUUUGCAAAGGAAGUAACACUUCAUCAACUAAGGACCCAACCAAAGAUCUUAAUGGCUCUCCACAUAAAGUUUCUUUGAGUGGAACAGCCACCACAUGUAAAGUUCUUUGAGUUGCUGUGCUUGCAUCUUAGUGCUGAUGACAUUUGGUGUUUCUGCACUUUGGUUGUCAUUAUGGUUUGUAGAUUGUGGCUCAAACUUGUAUGAUUCUUCUCAAUAGUCACAGGAAGGAUUGUUGGAAGCUAUCAUGCCAAUCUCAAACCUAAGUGUUCUUUUUCUUUGAGUCACUUGUUCUCAAAGCAACAUUUACUGAUUCUUGACAUAUAAUAAUAAAUUAGCAAGCAGAUUUAAUUACCUUUUUAUGAUUUUUUUUCCUUUGUCAAUGUUUUAAUCUGACACCACUUGUUGAAAAACAGGAUAUAAUAUAAGAGAAGAAUUGGAUAAAUUUUAGUUAUAGCUCCUCUACUGCUGCUAACAUAUAUUAUUUUGUCAUCAUUCAUAGCAUUUAUUACAAUUUAGUUGCAUAUACAACUUCAGAUUUGGCUUGAUUUAUUACAUGUAAAUGCUUUGUAGAUCCAAGCACCUUAUGGAGAAAGAAAAUGUACUUAGGACUAAUAUUUGUUCAUUCAUGUAUUAAUUCAUCUGUAAAUUGCUUUCUCACAUCUACAUGAACUCAUGAUUUGAAUUAUGAAAAGAUGUAAACAUGAUGAAGAUUCAAAUGCUGACAUGAAGAUGAUUAGAUUGGAGCAGCAACAACUUAUUUGAGCACCAACAUAAAUGAUUCAAGAGGAGAUCUUACACAGCCUGUGAAGCUGAUUAAGCUUACACAUUAUGAUGAAGGUUUCUUUUAUUUAUACUAUCCUUAGUUUCCUUCUAACCAGCAUUGCAAUGAUGCUGCACACUAAAGCAAAGCUUAUUUUAUGGUAAGGUAUUGAUGGCUAUGUUAUCUUUUAUCUGCUAUCUUAAUGAUCAGAUCAUUAGGAAUCAAGAAAACACAGCUUGCAGUGCAAGAAACCAGUAUCACAGUUCAUCUGCUCUGGAUGAUUAAGACAUUAAGCUGCACAGCUAAGCACUCUGAGUUGUGAGAUAGAGAGUUGCUUAACAACUGAAUUAAAAUUGUUGGCAAUGUAGAAUUAACAUAUCCACUUGCAAUUUUAGUUCCCAUGCCAUGUGAAUUUCUCAUGAACUUGAUGAAUUGAUGACCAACUUAAACUAUUUCUUCUAUAAGAUUUGGAAUCAGUAAUGUAUUAGAGAUCUUUGUGUGAGUUACUUCAAUUCCUUGAAGAGUUAGAAAAUUAUAGGUCUAAUAAAGAGCCAAAUACUAUUUUCCUUAGAAAAAACAGUCUUUUAGUGAAUAUUUUUUUAUAGUUCAAAGAGUUUAUAGAUUGUGUCAUGAUUGACAAACGUAGGCAAAAAAAAAAACAUCAUUACUUUAUGUUAUUUGAGGUAAUAUAUUUAUCAAAUUAUUAUGUUGUAAAUAAAUUAUUAAUUUCAAAAGAGGAGAUGAGUUGAUCGACAAGAUUAUCAAUUAAAUAUUUUAAAUUAAUUAGAUCAAAAAAAUAUUUUUUUUAUUGAGUCGCAUUAUAACAAAUUGAUAUUAUUGCGAACCGACUAAUUUUCCUUUGGGUUGGAUCACAACAAUUUAGACGGAAAUUUCACGUUCUAAUGCAAAAGUUGCCAUUAAGAUCCAAGUCAGAAGGUCAACUAUUGUGUUUCGAAGAGAUAGGAGGCGGCAGACCAGUUUUCAAGAAGGUUGGCGCAUUCUUUGUUCUCGUGCGUGUGGAGGAGAGGUUAGGCGCGUUGACGGCGUCCAAUCCACAUGAGACGAAGGCGGUGGGAAGGCGUCUUUCGUCGCCUGCAACAAUUUAUGGUGGAAGAGCAACUAAUCUCGUCUUCGUUGUCAACGCCGAUGGCUAACAGAUACCAAACCCCUUUGACGAACGAAUGAUAUGGCUAUUGUACUUAUUGCAUUCAUUUGAUAUUUUAAUGAGAUGAAAGAGUCCAAAUUUUAUCGUAUUUUAAGUCCUUAAGGGUCAUAAUAAAUUCAACAAUUUGUGACAUGGCUAUUUUUUAAAAGACAACAAUUUAUGAGUAAGAAAAUCUAGUUUAAAAAAUAAUAAAAAUUUUAUAUUAAUUAUGAACAUAUAUAAUUUGAUAGAAAAUAUAUUAACGAUCCAUCGGUCGCUAUACAAACAAUAUGUGAAAGCUAUCGUGAAAAAAAAUGAUUCAAGUCAGUCUCCACCUGUAUGAACAAAAGUUUAAAAUAGACUAAUUGAAACGGUCUCUCCCCAAUCGAUAUUAGGAUAAUUACAUGCUAUCCUCUCUGUGGAUCAAGUUAGGUUAGAUAUAAAAGCUAACUCUCGAUGUUAUAUCGAGAGGUUUUCUAUUUUAGCAAAAUUCAUAUAUAAAUAAAAUAUAGGAUUAACUUGAAUAUUAGAGUAAUCGGAUCAAAAAAAUUUCUUUCAACAUUGGUCUUAAUGCAAACGAUUUUAAUCUCGAGAGCUUACUCUUAUUUCGGAGCUAUCUUGAAACCACUUUAGAUAUUUAUGUGCCCUCGAACUUGAAUCAUAUUGAAUUAAUUCAGAUGUUACUGAUGAUGAAAUGAUUUUAAAUUAUCAAUCGAUAUUUACUUGAUCAAACAUUGAUCAAACAUUGGCUGUACUCGUGAUGUGAGGCAACAAAGUAUUUAUUCCUUUAGACUAAAAGAGAAAAAAGAAUAUGGCAUCAAAUACCUUCCUAUCAUUGUAAUCGUGCUUCCCAUCAUCUUCUCUUGUCAUUAUUCGAACAAGACGACGACGACUAACUCCUACAUUGACAGUGAAAACAAUGUUCAAAAUUGCAGGCAUUGCCAACAUGCUUCUUAUCGCAUCGACUCGUAAUUCUAUUAUCAAUGGUCAAGAUCUUGAUAUGGAUCGAUGGGGCCUGAUAGGAGCACGCAUCACCGUUCGAUCUAAACUUCAAUCAGCAUGGAGGCGUAAACCAUGUGAGGGUGCGUUAGGUGUGAAGUCAGUGAGACGUCCAAAUAAAGACUUGGUUGUGUGCGUAUGUGAAGUCCACUGCCUACCUGUCGCUACGCAGCCUAUCCUCUCUCUUUGACCGAGCUGGCAAAGAAGCCCAUGUGCGUUCAAUUUACACUCGUCGGUGCCACCAAAGACUUGAGUAUAUUAAUCGGCAACGUGGCAUCACAUUUAUGAGUGGGUUAUUAUGAAGACAGGCGUAAUCCAACUCAAAUCAACUUGUUAUAACUCAGCAAUAUAUAUAUAUAUAUAUAUAUAUGAUUUUUAAAAAUAAUUAUAUUUAAAAAUAUUUCUCAAUCGAUACCCUUAUUUUUAUUUUUUUCAAACAGUAUUAUUAAUUUAAAAAACUUAAAUUAUCUCUUAAAACUUUUUCAACUAGUAUAAUGCUUUGGUCACUAUAAUAAAAAUAUUAUAAAUAAUUUAAAUAGAUUCAUAAUCUCAAUCAAGUUAAAUAUAAAUUUAAAAAUAUAAUACUGCAAUGAUCUACGAGUUAUGAUAUAGAAAUAUGAUGUGAUGUCAUUUAUAUUAUUUUUUAAUAAUAUUUAUAGUAUUUUAGUAUAUCAUAAAAUACUAUAAAUAUUAUUGUAUAUUUCGAUCACACACACACACACACACACACACACACACACACAUAUAUAUAUAUAUAUAUAUAUAUAUAUAUAUAUANNNNNNNNNNNNNNNNNNNNNNNNNNNNNNNNNNNNNNNNNNNNNNNNNNNNNNNNNNNNNNNNNNNNNNNNNNNNNNNNNNNNNNNNNNNNNNNNNNNNNNNNNNNNNNNNNNNNNNNNNNNNNNNNNNNNNNNNNNNNNNNNNNNNNNNNNNNNNNNNNNNNNNNNNNNNNNNNNNNNNNNNNNNNNNNNNNNNNNNNNNNNNNNNNNNNNNNNNNNNNNNNNNNNNNNNNNNNNNNNNNNNNNNNNNNNNNNNNNNNNNNNNNNNNNNNNNNNNNNNNNNNNNNNNNNNNNNNNNNNNNNNNNNNNNNNNNNNNNNNNNNNNNNNNNNNNNNNNNNNNNNNNNNNNNNNNNNNNNNNNNNNNNNNNNNNNNNNNNNNNNNNNNNNNNNNNNNNNNNNNNNNNNNNNNNNNNNNNNNNNNNNNNNNNNNNNNNNNNNNNNCGAUGAUUAAAGGAAUAAUGCCCCCAAAUAAAACAUUAACGCUUCGUGUCGAUGGACGAAGUCUUCACCUUCUCUUCUACCCAUUACCAUCAGAGUCUCUUGUCUCCUCUCCCCCCAACCCCGCCCUCUCUCUCUCUCUCUCUCUCUCUCUCGCUCUCUCGCUCUCCCUCUGCCUAAUAAAUCCGACCCACGUCCACUCCCCCCUCUUCCUCCACAGACAUCAACUGUAACCCCUAUCUCUCCGCCUCCUAGAUCCAAGAACCGAUCGAGAUCCAUCCGUAGAUCGACGAGCCUGCCGAUCCAAGAAACGAUCGGGUCGGCCGGGAUCUGUCUCCCCGUCGGUAUCCGCGGGUCGGCGUUAGAUCGGCCCAUCCCCUAGACGUAGAUCGACGGAUCCACGCAGGAGGAACAGCGGCCGAGAGGCAGCGGAGGCGGAGGAGAUGAGCGCGAAGGCCGCCCUGUCGCCGGCGCUGGCGACCGGACGGUUCUUCACCGUCGGGCUUGUCACCGCGUGGUACUCCUCCAACAUCGGGGUGCUCCUCCUCAACAAGUACCUCCUGAGCAACUACGGGUUCAAGUACCCCAUCUUCCUCACCAUGUGCCACAUGACGGCCUGCUCCCUUCUCAGCUACGUCGCCAUCGCCUGGCUUAAGGUUGUGCCGAUGCAGGCCAUCCGGUCCCGCGUACAGCUGUUCAAGAUCGCCACCCUCAGCCUCGUGUUCUGCGGGUCGGUGGUCAGCGGGAACAUCUCGCUCCGCUACCUCCCCGUCUCGUUCAACCAGGCGAUCGGGGCAACCACCCCCUUCUUCACCGCGGUGUUUGCUUAUCUCAUGACUCUCCGGCGGGAGUCGUGGCUCACGUACAUUACCCUCGUGCCUGUCGUCACGGGUGUUAUUAUUGCCAGUGGGGUAAGCUUUCUUGAUCACAGUAGGAUGGCAAGAUCUUGUUUCUUGAUUACAUCUGCCAGUUAGAAUAUAUCAAGAUUGUUGUUUCUUGGCCACAGUCAGAUUACAUCUAUUUGAUUCCUAUGAGAUAUGCCGUAUCAAGGGUUCUUGAACCAUAUUGAAUGUUGGAUUAUCUCCUUCCAGGACAUAGAAUAUUUGAAUGUCGCAAUUGGGGAUCCAGAAAAGGGGAUUUGGAUUAACACACACACUGAUCUAGUUGAUUUUCGUGAAAUAUGUUGUCUCAAGUGUGCUUAAAUCAUGUACGAUCUUGGAUUAUCUCUCUUUCCAGCACAUAAAUGAUAGAACACAUGAAAGGGCAUAACCUUUAUUAUGUUGAUUUAUUUCUGUGGGUGUGAAUAGGAUGAACAUUGUUGCGAUGCAAUGCUAUCUGUUUUCACAUCAUUCGUUAUUAGAUGUUUCUAUCAUCAUUAGUAGACAAGCACGAAUUCUUGUCAUGAUUGAGUAACACAUUUGUAAUUCUUUCCAUCUUAUAUAUCAUUCAGGUCCUCAAAUGUCAAUUUGGUGAGCUGUUAGAUUUAUUUGUUCUGCAUGAUCAUUAAAAUGUCUCUCUUUUCCUCUCUUGGUCUUUUAGGUUUCUUUACUGGCUUCUUGUGUUGAAGUAUUGUGUUGACCAAUCUUCUUUUGUAUUUGUAAAAUCUACCUUUAUUUCUCUCUCUCUCUCUCUCUCUCUAUAUAUAUAUCUAUCUAUCUAUCUAUCUAUCUAUCUAUCUAUCUAUCUAUCUAUCUAUCUAAGCACCACUAGGUGUGUGUUUUGUAAAUAAAGAAACAAUAACAUUAAACCUUUGAGUGACAUAGUAGGAAGCUGGCAAAUAUAUGAUUUUUUUGGGGGCAAAACUAAGUCUUGUUUUAUUAGGCUUUAUUUCUCUUCUUGACAUUUAUUGCUCUGAUCUCAUAUGACAGCAGAUGUUAGACAUUAUUACGACCGUAUAGAUAGUCAACCUCCUUGAUGUAGAGACAUAAGUUGUUUCCUAAAUUAUGUGCUUCGAUGGUUGUGCAAGGGAUUUCUUCAACACAUGGGAUUAUACAGAUAAUAAUCUUUUGUCUUUCCAGAUUUAAGACUGAAAGAUGUGAAAACUGACACUCUGAUGGUUCAACUUUAUAGGGGGAGCCAAGUUUUCAUUUGUUUGGUUUUCUUAUGUGCAUCGGUGCUACUGCUGCCAGGGCACUUAAGACGGUGUUGCAAGGAAUUUUGAUGUCAUCUGAGGGGUGAGUUCUGUAUUCCAUUUGUUAAUUAAGAAAUCCUUUAUUGAAAAUUUCAGGUUUUUUCCAUAAUUACAAAUGUUGAUAGCACUUUGUAAUAGGAGGCUCUUUUGAGAUUUCAUAUUUUACAUAACAUAUGUUCUUAUUCACAUGCGUCAUGUCCAGGGAAAAGCUGAACUCUAUGAAUCUCCUCCUAUAUAUGGCUCCAAUAGCAGUAAUUUUUCUGCUUCCUGCAACAAUUAUAAUGGAGGAGAAUGUCAUUGGUAUCACACUGACACUUGCUAGAGAAGACUUCAAAAUUAUUUGGUACCUCCUGUUCAAUUCUUCUUUGGCAUAUUUCGUGAACUUGACCAAUUUUCUGGUCACAAAACAUACAAGUGCUUUGACCCUACAGGUAAGUUUCAUGGGAUUAAUACUUAUUCUAUGUUCUGUAUUAUUAAAAUUCUUUAUUUUUUAACAAUUAAAGUUUAAGUAAAUGCAUAAAGUAUGACAUUUCUCAAAUUUAUUUCCUUGGUUAUUGUCCCCCUCCCCAAGGUUCCUUCCUAUUUUUUCCCCAUCUUCCUCAAAUUGAUUUUGCAUAAAACUCUGAACUUUCUGUAGAAGUUAAUAUCUUGUGUCCUUCAAGCUCUACAAUAUUUUUAUUUCCCUAUCUGCACAUUUUUGUUUUUUGUUACCAUAAAUAAGAAUGUGGCACAAUGUAACACCAUGCAUAAAGAAGCCCGUGCCUAAAAGAAUUGUAGAAACUGUCUACUUGAUGGUUUGCAGAGCCAUGCUUGUGUUAAUUUAUUGUUUUUUCUUUGAUGGCUAUCACAGUCCACUUAAUGAACUUUGACUAUUGUUUUGUUACUAGCAUUCAGCAUAAAUAUACUUUUGUGAUGUGGUAAUACAAUAUAUGUAGGCUCCAAAAAAAGGCCAAAAUUGGAGAAGCAAAAUAUUUUAUGUUGUUAUCUGUUACUUUUAUAUAAUUGUUUGUUGUUGAUUUUGUCAAUUUUUAAUAUUUAGAAAUUUGCUGAUUUGUUAACCACAUCAUUACCAUGACUGGUCUUGGUUUAAGGAAAUUUGCUUGUUUCCUUAACCCUGCAAUCGAAGAAGCCUUAUACCCUGGACCGCCCUCAUCUACAUCUUCCAACAAGGUUCUGACCAAGUUCCAGCUGGUCUUGGUUUCAGUUGCUUUUGAUCCUUCCUUGUUCUCUGAUGCGAUCCUAAUCCUAAAACCCAUUAUUAUUUGUGAGUAACAAUCUAUACUUGUUCUUUUAGAGCUCCUUUAAUUUUGAUUGCACACUCUCAAGUCUUCAGGAAUUUCUGACCUACAUGAUUAGAAGCCCCCUAGGAUUGUCUCCUUAUAUAACUAUUGUUGGCAAUUUUGAUCUUGAAGAUUUCUGAUGUCAUGCCUAUAUUCGUAAGAUGAGAUGAUUUAGGAGCCACCUAGAUAAUUGCUGCCACUCUAUCUAGUUGAUUUGCUAACCUGCACAAUUUUUGACAAGAAGCUGGGUUACCAAAUGUUAAGGAGUUCCAAGCAAUCAUGCAAACCUUGCAAUGUGAUGACUGUAUAAUGAUUGUAUGGUGUAUGCAUCCGGGAAAUCUCUGCAAAUGGACAUACUGGCAUAGGCAUAGCAGUUUGAUAGCUGUUGAACUAAAUCUUUAACUUUCAUGUUUAAAUCUUAUAAAAUAUAUCCGAGUGAAUAUCUUGUUUUCUAGUGAUAUUGUUUUUACUGUUAAGAGCAGUGAAAGAUAUGAACUGCUCAAAUUGGAUUUUAUUAGUUUGUGCAGUAAAAUAACAGAAUAUAGACAGAUCAAGAAGUGAAACCAAACUGUAAAUGUGAAUGGCUACAUUUGAAUUAGCCACAGUGUGGUUUAAAUUAGGUUUGACCGAAGUUGUUUUAAUCAAGUUGGCUCAAUCUAAUUGAGUGAACUUAACCAAGCCACAAAAUGAGAUGCCACCAAAAUUUUCUUCUGAGUAUAUGCACAGGGUGUGUACCCUUGUAAUAAGAAAGUGAGGCACCAAAAAAGUAUGGCAUUUUGGUUGAUUGCCCUAAAAUGUUUAAACCCUUGUAAUCAUGUCUUGCAGAAUGGAAACUCUUAUUGUACAGUUCGUAAUGAUUGUUCCUUUGUCCGUUGAUUGUAUGGAUUGGGAUAACAUGAUGAGUUUUAGAAAUAAUGGAAAAACCCCUUUUGGUUGUUGAACAUCAGAGUUUCUGUUGAACUGGAAAUUAGUACUUUUGAUUCUGAAUACACAGUGCUCUCAUUCAUACUGCUUUUGUGUGUUGUUGAAAAUAAUGUUGAUUGUUUAUUUUGUUUUCAAAGGUUCUUGGAAAUGCAAAAGGCGCGGUGGCUGUUGUCAUCUCAAUCCUGAUAUUUAGGAACCCAGUAUCUGUAACAGGAAUGGCUGGUUACACACUUACAGUCAUUGGUGUCAUUCUUUACAGCGAAUCUAAGAAGCGCAACAAAUAAAGGUGUGCUUCAGGGAGCCCAUACAUCACGUGACAGCCCUCCAGCCUCGCUGAUGACGUUGGCUCCCACUUGUUCAACUGUAAACUUAGCUGGAUUCAAUAUCUGCAUCAACAGUGAUCAUAUAACCAUAGAGUAAAGAGAGAAAUUGCAGUCAGUAUGUGGAUUUAUACUUUUUAGUCAGGAGGCGUUCUCGAACACCAUUCAUCGGUAGAAACAUUUAUGGUCUACAUUCUUUGCCAGCGCAAGUGUUAUUAUAUCGUUAUUGUUGAGAUUGUGUUGUUGUAACUUAAUUAUAUCACCGUUUUUAUUAUUAUUUUUUGUCCCCAAGUGAAUUAAUCAGACCAACAGGUUAAAGAUCUUGACAGUGUGGUGAUUUUUAGUUCUGUAGGGUAAAAAUCAAUUACAAAGCAACUAAACUUAAAUUAAGAUCUUGACAGUGUGGUGAUUUUUAGUUCUGUAGGGUAAAAAUCAAUUACAAAGCAACUAAAAUUAAAUUAAGAUCUUGAACACCCAAUUUGAACGAGUCUUCUGCUUUUCUGAUGUGUUGAAAUGUUUUACAUGUUCCAAAACAAGGAUAGCAGUUGCACUGCAGAUCUCCACAUUAGUAAACAGGUAAAAAGCCUCGGUUGAGACAUGUAACCGGAUGUCUUCCCAUGGCUACCUAUCUGCAAACGCUCCAAUAAAAUUAGCUGUGUGGUUCCAGUCAAAAUUAUUAGCCAUUUUAGAAAUUAUAUUAAGCAUAUUCUUACAGAAGUCAAAAGUCAGAAGAGAAAUCAACGAAUAACAAGAAAGCCAUGACUUCCCAAAACAACAGGAACAGUUUUCAAACUAUCAUGAACAAUUAAGUUACAAUGGACAUUCAGAAGGGCUUACCUUAUUUUGGGCAGAUAAUCCAACAAGUGCAUUAAGUUGAUAAAAAUACUUGCAGUGAUGCUUGUUAUUUUAAGAUCAGAACGAAAAACAUAAAAAAGAAAGAGUUGCAAAAGGAAAUUAAUGGAGUAAUCCCAACUGAUAAUAAACGCAAUCUGAAACUCAUGAUUUUAAACGCAAUCUGAUAAUAACUUUAACUUUUCAUUUGAUAACUUUGUAAUCAACUGUUUUUCAUAGUUUAUAUCAUAAAUUGUAACCCUCGUGUGAACGAAGUUACUAGUCCAAGACAUCAACAAAAUUAUGGAUCCUCAAUGUCAGAAGGAAACUUUGCUCCCUUUACUAAAUUUUGUUCUUGUUCCGUAUCUGUCAACCCGACGAAAAGUGCAUGCCAAAUUGUUAUGUAUGAAGGUAAAUGGCAUACAGUCAUAACUCAAUUUCAGGGUUAGAUCACAAAAAAUAAACAUGAACUUAUAGUUGUUAAAAAACAAAAAUCAUAAGCAUAUAUAAUGCAAUCGUGUAGAAAAUUCAAAGCCAACGAAGAAAUAUUUUCCAGCAGAUACAAGGUGGCCCAUCAUGUGGUGUGGUGAAUCAAUGUGUACGAUAUGUUCUAUCUUUGCAAGAAGUGAAAAAGCUUAAAUACAUUAACAUGUCCCUCUCCUAUUUAUACAGAAAAAAGAAAGGAUUUUCCUCAACAGAAUAGAGGAUUUUUGUUAACAGAAUUGAAAGAUUUCCUUAUAUAGUUGGAAAAAUCUUAUCUUCUAUCAUGCCCCCGCAAGAUAGUACUCCUGUCAAGGAUACCAAUCUUGGAUCGAUGCAAAAAAUGAUUUACGAGUAGAGGCUUCAUAAGUAGGACAAGAGCAAAUCGUUGCUGCGAUUGCUGUUGUUGUGAGGGCACAGGUGUUCCCUUCGUUCUCCGUAAGUCCGUCGACUGCUAGCAGAUCAGCGAAGACUAUCGCGAUGAGAAAGAUGAGGAUUGAUUGUGGAGCCUCUUAGGAAUAUGGCUACAGCGGCGUUGGUCGAUGGCCGAAGUCAAAGGCGAAGCUUCGCUUUUCUCAGCGGUGUUAGUCGCUGGCCAAAGGCAAGAGUGAAAUUUUGCUUUUCUCAUUGNNNNNNNNNNNNNNNNNNNNNNNNNNNNNNNNNNNNNNNNNNNNNNNNNNNNNNNNAAGCUUCACCCUUGCCUACGACCAACGACCAACACCGCUGUAGCUACAUUCCUAAGAGGCUCCGCAGCCAAUCCUCAUCUUCCUCACCACGGUAGUUUUUGCUGAUCUGCCAAUAGUUGGUGGAUUUAAGGAGAACGGAGAGUGGACUUAAGGAGAACGAAGGGAAUGCUUGUGCCCUCACAACAACAACAAUCGCAGUAGCAAUAGCGAUCUGCUCUUACCCUACUCACGAAGCCUCUCACUCGUAAACUAUUCUUUACAUCAAUCCAAGAUUGAUAUCCUUGACAAGAACACCUCUUGCAGGGAUAUAAUAGAAAAUAAGAUUUUUCCAACUAUACGAGGAAAUCUCUCUAUUCUAUUGAGAAUAAUCCUCUAUUCUGUUGAAGAAAAUCCUUCCAGCUCUCAAUAAUUAUUCUUAUCUUUUUAUCUUUUAACAAACCAAUAACUGAACAAACUAAAAUAUGAAUCACAAGAUAAGGGAAUAUGUGAGUGGACAAAAAACUAUGGAACAAUGAUUGAUGUUGACUAUUUAAGAUCACCAAACGAUCCUCCCAAAAUUUCAAGCUCAAAUCUAAUGUCUUGCAAUGCAUACAGUGUUGCCUGCAUCGAUCUGCAGAAUUCAUUAACAAAUCAAUUAAGUUCGACAAAAGAUGCUUGCAUUGACUCCUAUGCCGAUCACAUACUGACAACUUAAUCAUUAAAAACAAAACAAGAACGUGAAAUAGAUCAUAUCACAUAUCACCUGCGGCAAGAAUACAAAGAACAUGCCAACCAAAAGAAUCCAACUAUAGUUAAUACCCGAAGAACCCUAAAUCUCAGAGACAGCCCUUUAGUCAACAAAAUAAAAAUGAAAUGCCAUCGAACACCAAGAUUAAUGGAAAGAUUGAAAAAGGAAAAGAAAACGAAUGAAGAUCUUGAAUCGAUGAUGCUUUGAAGGAAAGCGGACGGCAAGAUGAUCCGCACAUCGAUAAUCCGAAUGACAUCUAAUCAAUCGAAGAGAUAUGAUCACGAUCCGAGAUGGAUCCAAGAAUAAUCAAAUGCCAUCAAAAGCUACGAUUCAUGGAGAGAUUUAAAGAGAAAGAAAAAACGAAUGAAACAGAUGGAGUCGUACAUGAAAUCUUUAAUCGGUGAUCCUCUGAAGGAAAGCGGACGGGAACACGUCGUAAUCCGUACAACACUAAUCGAUCAUAGGGGUAUGUUCACGAGCCGAGAGAAAACGAUUCAAGAAGAAUCAAAUGCCAUCAAACACCAACAUUCUCCGAGAGAUCGAAAGAAAAGAAAAACGAACGACUCACAUGGAAUCGUAUCUUAAGUUCUUGAAUCGGUGAGACCCUGUGGAGGGAUGUGAAGGGAAAGAUCGUCCAGACAGAGAUAAACAGAACAAACUCUGAUUGAACGAGAGAAAUGAUCACGAUCGGAGAGAAAUCGUUUCAAGAAUAAGCAAAUGCCAUCAAAUACCAAGAAUUCUUAGAGAAAUCUAAAGAGAAAGAAACGAACGGCUCGUUCUUGAAUCAGUGAGAUCAUGUGGUGGAACGUGGACGUGAAGAUCCUCCACAUAUCGAUCAUCCGGAUAAACUCCAAACAGAACGAAGAGAUAUGAUCACGAUCCGAGAGGAAUCGAUUCAAGAAUAAUCAAAACUCAUCAAACACCAAGAUCCAUGGAUAGAUCGAAAGAUAAAAAAGGAACGAUACGCGCGGAGUCGUGCCUAAAGUUCUUGAAUUAGCGUGACCCUAUGGAGGAAUUUGGAUGGGAAGAUCGUCCACACAUCCAUAAACCUAUUCAAACUCUAAAUCGAUCAAAGAUAUAUGAUCACGAUCCAAGAGAAACCGAUUCAACAAGAAUAAAAAGCAUCCAUCUAUAUUUAACCCAAGAAACCAUAAAUCAAAGAAAUCACCCAAGAAAAGCAAGAUUCACGGAGUGAUCGAAGACAUAAAUGGAAUUAUACCAGCAAAUACUGAAUCGACUGAUUCCUCGGAAGGAUCAAAGAUGGGAAGAUCGACCUCUGGCGAGACAUCGAUCGGAAAGAGCCACUCCAUGAUCCAAACGAGCUCUAAUCGGUCGAACACGACAGAGAAAAGGAGGCAGGCGUUCAAGAAACGAAAAAUGGGAAGGCAAGAGCGAGGCUUCAUAUUCACAUAUAUAUACCGCCUGGCUUGUUAAAGACGCACAUCUUUUCUGUUAAGUGUGCGCUUCUAACGGAAAAAUGAAGUUGCCACCGCAGAGGCAGGGCGUGUACAGUUAUAAGAAGGGCGCAUCACAUUGCGGGUGCGGCUGAGCGGGACAUUUUGAAUUGGGCACCACGUGGAAUUUUCCUCUUUCUUUGGGAUCGUCGUGUUGGGGAUCGGGUUGUUUGAUCUCUCGCAAGCGUGCGUGCCGUAAGAUUCGUGCUUGACGCAUGCUAGUUUUCAUAUACGAUUUGUGUUCAUCGCGCUUUGAGAUGUGUGCUAUAACAUGAUUCCUUCUAUUUGAUUACUGUUGCCAUGAAACCCACAGUGGAUGCUGCGGAAGCCACUCGAGUCGGUGGUGCCAUCAAGAAAACCAGUCCUCGACAUGUCUAGGAAACCUGCAGGCUGUGUCGUGAUGUUGUUCAGGGUUAGGGUUUCCAAGAAGGAAAGUCUCAUGCAUGGUCGUCUCGUGAUGUUGUUCCUGGAGCUUUCCGAAGCCCAAGGACGUCGAUGUCAAGUAAGUCGGGAGCGGUGGUAGGGAAGAACUGGCGGAGACUAUGUGUCGAAGAGGAUGAGGAGGAUGACGACUUUGAGAAGUCUUCUAGUAAAACGUGACAUAAGUUCGCAUCCACAUGUCAACCUCACGUCAACAAAGGUUAGCCACCACAAGCAUUUAUCGAUCCCAUUAAAUACUGAUAUUAAUGUUCUUAAAAUAUUAUUAUUAUUCUGUACGGUUCAUAAGAUAUACUGUCGUCAGACCCUCAUGUCAAUUGCGUCCAUUACAAGCCAAGACCGAGGCGGAGGCGAUGGCUCGGCUUGUGUUGUACUUUUUAUUCGAGUAAACCCAACAAGUGCGCAAAGAGACCGGAGAGCGCUUCAUACAAUUCCACACGCGGUUACGUUCAAACGAGUCAGCGCAAACGGGCGGCCAUUGAACCCACACGCUGCUUUCGCCGUUCGAUCCGAGGCGGCGCUGAUCUCGACCGUCCAUAUCACCCGCGGACGACGGCUUUCACGCGGGCUGGCUUUCCUCUCCCUUUCUCUGACCCUUCCUCGCAUCCGGGCUGUCCUUUUUGUGAGAAGCAUUCCUCUCUUCCUUCUCUCCGCUGCUUCGCGUCCGCGACGACCUAUAAAGCCUCGGAGACCGGACGGAUAGGACCCAAAUCGAGAUCGCGGAUUCCGUUCCUCCCUGUUAUCUCUCUCGCUCCCUUUGUCGUGUGCAUCGUCUUCUCUGCUCGAGUUCUGUCACGAAACAUGGACGGGGCUCCGGUGAACGAGUUCCCGGUGGCGCUGACCCACGGAGGCCGGUACUUGCAGUACGACAUCUUCGGAAAUCUGUUCGAGAUUACAUCAAAGUAUCGGCCGCCGAUCAUGCCGAUCGGAAGGGGGGCUUACGGCAUCGUCUGGUACCUAAUCUUGUUUCUGCUAUUCGUAUGGGAAAUCGAUGGGAGUUUGAUGAAUUAGUAGCUUUGAUGAUUGUUUGGUUGAUUGUGGUUCUAAUUUUUCCUCUUUAUUACAGUUCGGUGAUGAAUUCGGAAACUGGGGACAUGGUAGCCAUCAAGAAAAUAGCCAACGCGUUCGACAAUCACAUGGAUGCAAAGCGGACACUUCGAGAGAUCAAGCUCCUUCGGCACUUGGAUCAUGAGAAUGUAAGCCCUCAGUAAUUACCUGUCAAAAUUCUUGAAUUGUGAUGGCUAGGGAAAGUUCCUUCUCAUGAUCAAGCUUCGAUGAAUUCAUUUCAUCUUCGAUGACAAAUCACAGCAAUGCAAAAUAGUACAUCUGACAGCCAAUUUGAACUGCUUAUGGUCUCCAAUAAUACACAAUUAUUAUUGUUUCCAUAUAUAUAUGUAUAUAUUCUUGAUGUAGGACAUUGUGGGGCGGGUAGUGAGCACAAUAUUGAGGACCUUAGCCUUUUGACCUUGACAUUGAUCGUGUUUGCUCUUAAUUCCAAGUUGUCAAGGAAGUGGAACAUACACAUAAUGGAAACAUAACUUCAUUGAUUAUGAAAGGAGCUGUGAAGAAGAAGAGAUAUACAUGUAUAACAAAACUUUCUUGAAUGAUGUGUGUUCUAUAAAUAUCUUUGAACCUACAUAAGUUUCAUUUAUGGGGUCAACCCUGCAUGAUUGCUUGCAUUUUGGUGGUCCUUAAUGGUUGCUUUCUUUAUUCGAAAGCUACAGGACACCUCCAUAAACUUUUACUUGAUGUCAUCAGGUUACCUGUUUGAACACUGGAUGUUGCAUCAAAUUAUUCAUGGAGUUUAGAACAACUGAAAAUGUCCUUCCUGAUAACAGUCAAUCAUGCAUCCUGGAUAUCUUAGCUGUGAACUGGUUAUGAUAUCAGUUUCUUGCUUAGCUGCAUACGAUUCAGUAACAAAAUAGAUCUCCAUUUUUUAUUUCUGAAGAGAAAAAUAGUCAGGAAUUAUACUUCAUAUAUGUUACAUCUAAGGGAAUUGGUCUAGAGAAUGUCUUAGAUGUACUAAAUAUGCAAAAUAUAUGGAGUUGGCACGGAUAACUGAUAAAGAAAACCAUGGUUUCUUGUCUAAAAUAUGCUGUGUCAAUGAAACUGUUCCUGGUUUUAGCAUGCCCCAUUUCAGUAUCUUCACUGGAAACUAUACAUUAAAGAUGUGAUUCUCAGCGAUCUGUGAUCUGUUCUUACGGUAACUGAAUGCCUUUACCGUCGACAGGUUAUAGGGAUAAGGGAUGUGGUCCCCCCGCCAAUUCCACAAACAUUUAAUGAUGUUUAUAUUGCAACUGAGCUCAUGGAUACUGACCUUCACCAUAUAAUCCGCUCCAACCAAGAAUUAUCGGAGGAACACUGUCAGGUACGUUGUUCAUGAUCCUGAUACUACUGCAAGCACAGAAUUAGACUUGAUCCACUUGUUCUGACAAGGUCAUGGAUGGCUUUUUGCUUCCAAAUUGUGCAGUACUUUCUAUAUCAGAUUCUUCGUGGAUUGAAAUACAUACAUUCAGCAAAAGUUAUUCACCGAGAUCUGAAGCCAAGCAACCUUCUGCUGAAUGCAAACUGUGAUCUGAAAAUAUGUGAUUUCGGUCUGGCACGUCCCACAUCGGAGAAUGAGAUCAUGACAGAGUAUGUUGUGACCAGAUGGUACAGGGCGCCGGAGUUGUUGCUGAACUCCACAGAUUACACUGCAGCCAUUGAUAUGUGGUCAGUGGGUUGCAUCUUUAUGGAGCUAAUGAACAGGAAACCUCUGUUUCCUGGAAGGGAUCACAUGCACCAGAUGCGUUUGAUAACAGAGGUAAGAUCAGAAUUCAUCAACAAUGAUGAUUAAUUUCACCUAUUCAGUGUUAUUGCUUACAACAUAUUCUUUUUCGCUCUCUCUAAGGGAUGACGUUUAUUACAUUCUGUGUUUUCAGCUUAUUGGCACUCCAACAGAGGCUGAGCUUGAAUUCAUUCAGAAUGAAGAUGCAAGAAGGUACAUGAGGCAUCUGCCUCGGUAUCCACGUCAGUCAUUUGCAAGUCUAUACCCACAUAUCAGUCCAGUUGCUAUUGAUCUUAUUGAGAGAAUGCUGACAUUUGAUCCCACCAAGAGAAUUACAGGUAACUGGUCUUUGACAGUUCUGCAUUGUCAAAUUUUUUAUCCUCUUACAAACAAAUCAAUAACGAUGGAGAAUUUGAAUUAAAGAAAUCAAAUUAUUGACCUAAUUGUUGAAACCAAUUAUUUUGUGGCAAGCGGUUGAAGGAAAACUUAGGUUAAUUUGUGAUGGCAUCGUAUUAGUAUCUGUUCCUGUGUGAACUAUAAACAACAUAACACAUUGAAGUGGUUAGAUCUGAUUAUUUUCAGAACUUUGUGAAACAUCUGAUGUUGUUGUACUUUCACAUUCAUUUGCUUACUUUGGCUUUCCAUCGAUUCUGCAGUCGAAGAAGCACUAGAUCAUCCAUACCUUGAGAGGUUGCAUGACAUUGCUGAUGAACCCACUUGCAUGGAACCUUUCUCCUUCGAUUUUGAGCAACAUGCCCUCACGGAAGAGCAGAUGAAGGAGCUGAUAUACAAAGAAGCUAUAGCAUUCAAUCCAGCAUACUAGUUUUAAGAGACACCGGUUCGCCUACAAUUGGCCAUCAACUGCUGCUGUAAAUACUUUGAAACAUGAAGAGUUUGUGAUGAAAUUCUAUAUUUUUUAGGUUCUUUAUUUAGCACGAGUGUCUUGGUUGUCUUCAUGAAACUUAUUUUUAGAACAAAUAUUAUUAUGAGACGUUUGAAGUGCAUGCCAGUUUACUUUGCUGAACAAAUUUAAAUCCGUGAGUGCAAGUAGAUCCACCACUGGUUUCAUUGUGCUAGAACUUUCAGUUCUUCCAGGACUUUAAAUUCAUAGUUUUACAAUGUGGAAAUGACUACUGUCUCUAGAUGCUUAAUGCAGCAUUGUUAUCUUUCAAGAUUGGUGCACCAUUAACCUGAUGUGUGAAAGAGCAGGUGACUUGAGUUACUUGGUAGUGGCUUGGUCCCAUUUCUUUGAAGAGCACCAUAAGAGAAAAAUGGAUGUGAAGCAUAAGAAUGAAAACAUAUCCUUUACUUUCAAGAUAGAUGUACAUUUUCUUAGAAUCAUUUGCUAGCUGUGAACUGCUAUCAUCAAGAUAAAUGAUCUAUCUGCAAGACAGUCCAUCAAAUUCUAGUCUUGGGUCAUGGAGUUCAGAGCCAAGAUAAAGGUAGCACCAUCCUAGAAACACAUAAUUACUUCCAAUUAACCUUUUCUAUGUUCCCUCUCAAUCAGAUGAAAGAGCAAGAGCAAGUAGGAUAAAUCAUAUCUACCAACAGAUCAUGUACCAUGAGACUAGUACAAGUUUAAGAAGCUUUAACACAGAAAGGACCAAGUUUUGGUUCCCUCAUUGGCCCACAGCCAUGUUCACCUUCUCUGUAAAGUCUGAAACUGUUACCAUGUUACUCCUGCCUGAUUUCUCUGGCAAAGGACUGUCAUAAUAGUUGGGUAUCUUAUAGUCCUUGUUUCUUUGCUGCUUUUCUGAUUCCUCUUUAUGAUUGUACAGCCCAACAGCUUCCCCACCUCAUCUUUGCUGGAAGUGAGAUCCUCUUCACAUGAUAAGAUCCUAACAUGCAAACACCUUCAGAAUCAGAAGAGCAGUAUCUCAAGUCAAUAUUUGUUUUAUCUAAUAUAGGAUUGCAUUUCAUGAUUUAUGCAUUAUGAUUGUAUCAAAAGGAUAACCAUGCACAACAAAAAUAAAAACUUAAGUAAAUAUCCAAUUCAAACCAUCAAUGAUAGAGUAGCUGAAACAUACAUUUAUAUUAUAUCUUGGUCAAUUGCAAGAAAGGAAAAUUUGGCCUCAUAAAUAAAUCCAAAGAACCCUGUAGUUAACAUUAGCAUUACAGUAAAAGAUAAAAAAGGCAGCACUAGAUCAUGCUUAGAGAUAAGGAAGGAAAAGCACAAUAUUGCUAAUGAGAAUAACUGAUGAGAUAUAAUUUUGUUUGAGACUACUAUUCAUAAGGAUAAAAUUAUCCAUCCACUAAGAUUUGACACAUUGACAUUAAAAGAUAAGAAAUACGAAAAAAUUGAUUGCAUAGGAAUAUCAUCAAUUAUAAUUAAUUUUUUUUAAAUAAAAAAUAAUUUGAGAAAUAUUCUUUUAAUCAUAAAUAAUAGUUAAGGAGACUUGGUUAUAAAUAAAAGACAUCUAUUAUAAUUCAAUUUUUUUCUUUGUUUUCACUCUUUCUUACUCUUCAUAGAUAUCCACUAACUUAGGCAUUAAAGGGAUGGAUCGAAUCAAUAUUCACUUUUUCUUCUUACCUACCAAAAGAUGAUUCUGAUUCAAGAUAAUUCUAAAUCAAUAAAUGAUUUUGAGGAUAACCACUAUUUGACUAUAAAUAAUAGCUAUAGAUUUGUCAAAUUUUAAUUUUCAUUUAUGGUCCUGAAAACAUGGGACAUGAAAAAUUAUCACAACGAGCAGUGAUUAAUGAUGAAGUGGCCGAACCUUGCGACUCCUUUUCUUAUCAACAACAAGAAAAAGAGCAAAAAAAUCAUGGAGGAAUAAUUCACUCAUUCAGAUACAUCUCCUCAACUGUCAGUCGCAUUUGUGACCAUCAGCUUUAAAUGGAGAAAUCAUCACCUCCUCAAUCAUUCAUCCUUGGCAAAUCUGAUCCUUCGAGGUAAGCUCGCCAUAGAGUGACCGGAUACAAAGCGCUGUGAAGUGACUGAAGUGAGGUGACAACCGAGGGCGGGAGUAAAAGAGAAGCAGAUCGGGUCACCGCAGGUUGAGGGACGGUCACGUGUCCUCGCUGUAAAGCUAAAGGCAAGCGGAGCGGCGAUCCUUUCCCACUUCGCACCCUCUUUACAGCUUCCGUCGAUUUAUGGUAUCGUUCUCCCUCUCGGUUCCCCUUUCCUUUCCUUCUUUCCCACUUCGAAUGCUCUUUACAGCCUCCGCCUAUUUAUCGACUCUCGUUUCCCCUUCCCUUUCAUUCUUUCCCACUUCGAACCCUCUUUACAGCUUCCGUCUAUUUAUCGGCUCCCUUCUCCCUCCCUUUUCCGCUUUCCUUUCAUUCGCCCUUGCAGCGAGCCGGCGUGCGAUGUGGCCUGGCUUGGGGAAUGGCGAGGCUCGUUCAUCUCGUCGUCUUCAAUCUCCUCCUCCUCUUCGUCGUCUGCAGUGCUCAGAUGCCUGGUAUAUCUUCUUACAUCGUGCCGGUCAAAGUUGCUUUUCCGGAAGUUGUUUGCAUUGUUUAGGUUAGAUAUUAGGUUAAAUGUUACCAAGAUCUGCGGAAACCGAGCUUCGAUCGUUCAUGUCAAGCCCUGUUUCACUUGGCUCUGCUAUACCGAGCUGUCGUUACACGCUAACUUGAUGAAAGAAGACAAUCGUACCAGCGGCGAGCAGCUGGUGGACAGAUCUGAACAAAGAAGAGCGUCUAGAACAGAAACAGAGAACGCAUCUAAGAUCCAUAACAAAAUGAACUAAGAAACUGGUCAAUUCUAGCAAAACAGUUCUCCUUCAAAUGCGAUGGAGCUUGUUAGCCUUCUUGGCAGAGGCAGAAGCCAACCAUUCUUUGGGGACGAAGGCUAUACCUAAUUGUUUGAACUGUUAAACUUGUAUGCUAGCUUUGUUCCCAUAUGAAACUUGUAUACCAAACGACACAUUACGAGUUUGCCUUCAUCGCAAAGUGUAAUGUAAGGUGAAUUUGGUAACACUUUUCCAUACUUUUGCUUCUUUUUGCUGACCAUCUUCUCUGUUGAAAAGUUAUCAUUCAGCACAUUUCUGAUUAUGUUUGUGAUAAGAAUGCACUUUUCAUUCUACACCAUUGGAUACUCUAUUAACUCUGGUUGUACAGAUUCAUAUAAGAAAGUUUAAGUGAGAUCAUUUUCAUGAAAAGCAGCAUAUGUUCAUGUUUCCAAAAUAUAAAAGCUAGUAGCUUACGUGCAUAGUUAUUGCUGGACAGGUUUUGUCAGUAUUGACUGUGGAGGCAGCGAAACAUAUACUGAUUAUAUUGGACUGGUGUGGACACCUGAUAGUCAAUUUAUUUAUGGUGAAGCAGCUAAUAUAUCAGUUCCAAAUGAGAACCGCAAGCAAUAUAAGACAGUGCGGUACUUCCCAGCAGAUAAUAGAAAGUACUGCUACACAUUCAAUGUCACAAUCAGGACACGGUACCUCGUGCGAACAAGCUUCUUAUAUGGGAACUUUGACAGAAGUAAUGUUUAUCCAAAAUUUGACAUUUCAAUUGGUGCAAGUCAUUGGUCAACCAUUGUUAUCUACGAUGAGAAAGCCAUUGUGACACAAGAGGCCGUUAUCCUAGCUUCUUUUCCUACAGUUAGCAUUUGUUUGUCUAAUGCUACAACUGGACAGCCUUUUAUUUCUACCAUCGAGCUUCGGCAAUUCAAUGGUUCACUCUAUCACACAGAAUUUGAAACUCAGUUUUUCUUGAGUCUAUCUGCAAGACUAAAUUUUGGAGCUGACAAUAAUGGAUCUAUCAGGUAUUUGUUAUGCUUCAUAAUUGUUUAAAAUUAUUGGGUAAGUUAAUUGAAUAUAAUUUUGGUUUUCCAUGCAUUCUCCUAAUGUUAAAACUGAAUCCUAUCUUCGCCGACCUAAUCAUCAUGCAACAAUGCAGACUUUGGAGAAUGUAUCAUGAAUCUUGUGUCAUGAAAAAACAAAAAAAACUCAGAUCACCAAGCAUUAGUUACCACGGAGAAAUGUGUGUGUGUUCUAAGGUAUAUAUUGAGGAAAUUGAAGUAUUCUAGAAUAUGAAAUGAUCAGACCUACCGGUCAACAUGCAUAAUAGGCUUUGUUACGUUAUAUGAACUGUAAAAGCACCUUAAGGGUGGGUUUAGAAGAAAAACUAUAUACAAGAAAAAUGAUAUUCCUUCCAAAAUGAUUCUGCCAUAGUUCUGAUUUUCAAACAUUGCACCUUCCUAUGCUAUCUCCAUUUUGUUUUUAUUUCCGUGUAUUGUUUAGCUGGGUUGGUUCUCUGGUGGUGAAGGAUUUUUUUUCUUGGUUUUAACUGCUACAAUGAUAACAUGUUCUCUAUGCUUACAGGUACCCAGAUGAUCCUUACGAUCGAAUUUGGGAAUCUGACUCUUUGAAGAGGCCAAACUACCUUGUCGAUGUUGCUCCUGGAACUGAAAGAAUAUCGACUGCUAUGCCUAUAGAUGUCAAUAAUGAUGAAAGGCCACCUGUAAAGGUUAUGCAAACAGCUGUAGUGGGGCAAAAUGGAACCUUGAACUAUCGGCUUAACUUGAAUGGUUUUCCAGGGUAUGGUUGGGCAUUUUGUUAUUUUGCAGAAAUUGAAGAGUUAGGAGUGAAUGAAAUUAGGAAAUUUAAGCUAGUGCUUCCAGGGAAUAAGGAACUAACUCGUCUCAUUGUGAAUGUCCAAGAAAAUGCUCAAGGGAAGUAUCGGUUAUAUGAACCAGGAUCAUAUAAUAUAAGCCUCCCUUUUGUCUUGUCGUUUGCUUUUAAGCAAACUAAUGAUUCAUCCAGGGGACCCAUCUUAAAUGCUUUGGAGAUUUACAAGUACAUGGGGAUACAUUAUGGCUCAAUGGAUGGUAUAUAUGGAUAUCGUUUUCUUCAUUAGCUGAUAUAAACUGUGUUUUUCAUCAGGCUGCAUCUGUAAUAUUGUUUCUUUCUUUUUUGCAUUGCAGCAUCAACCAUGCAAAGUUUCACAUCACAUUACCCACAAGCAGUUUGGGCGCAAGAAGGCGGGGAUCCAUGCUUACCAGCUCCAUGGUCCUGGGUGCAAUGUAAUUCAGAUCCACAACCAAGAAUUGUUUCAAUGUACUGAAUUAGUAUUGGUAUCACUUUCUCUGUACUUUGUUGAUAUUUUUCUACCUAUAUUCGUGCAUGUACUCUAUAAAAUUAGAUCCAUUCUCAGUUCGUGCUAAUAAUAGCUUGUUGCAUGAACAGUGAAUUAUCAAAGAAAAAUUUGACAGGAGAUAUACCUUUGGAACUUGCUAACUUAACAGGCUUGGUCGAGUUGUAAGUUUGAAUACAACUUACUCCUUUUUGAUGUCUUAAUUAUUUAUGUUUCUUGAGGCACAAGCUUCCUUCUUUGUAACUAUCCUAAAUUCAAAUGUUGCAGGUGGCUUGAUGGGAACAUGCUUACUGGUCCAAUACCUGAACUUGGUGGAUGCUUGAAUCUGAAAGACAUGUAAUAGUUAGAAAAUUCAGUUGUUGUACCUUUUAAAACAUUAUGCUUUAAAAGUUUGGUUUUUUCUUAUUUGUAGUCACCUUGAGAACAAUAAGUUAACCGGCGAUUUGCCAUCAUCAUUGGUGGGCCUACCAAGUUUAAAGGAACUGUAAGUCCUUUCUCUCAGUUUUAAAGCAUACACUAUUUUUUGGCUGGUUUAUACAAUAAAUUAGCAUCUAGAUCCAAGAAGUAGCUGAAUUUGAAUUUGGUCAUUCUAAGUUAUCUUCAAGUAAUUUCUGUAAUAAAAAACACUUCUAUUGUGUAUACUGUACCUUAUGCCUCCGUUGAAUCAUAAACUCAUGAUUGUUUUUUCUACCAUAUCCUGUCUUUUGUUAUGGUUUUGCCGGAUGCCAGCUACUGCAUGAACUGAGAGUAGAAUACUGAUGGUUGCAGGUAUGUGCAGAACAAUAUGCUGUCCGGAACAGUGCCCACUGGUCUUCUCGGCAAAAAUAUUGUUUUUAUGUAAGUAUUACUUUUUCAUUCGCCGUGUUGGCAACUUCUUAUUUCUUCCUUUCUAACAAUCUCUUUGCCUGAUUUGUUUUUCAGGUACUCUGGAAAUGCAUAUCUUGAUGGGGAAAAAAAUAGCAAGAGGCACAUUAUAAUUGUUUUGUGCUGUGUUUUUGGAUUUUCUGUGCUGCUUGCGGCUGUUCUUGCCUACUUAUUUGCACACAGAAAAAGAGAGUUACUUUCAGGAAAAGGUAUAGCUUCAUACUCGUUGAAGAUUUUUAAUUUGGUCAUCAAUUUAUCAGCGAACUGAAGGUGAAAACUCGUGUCUCAGAUGAUCUUGCCACCGUCCUACCACUUCAGAAGCAAAGUGCUUCCUUCAGUGAACUUGGUACUGACGUAGCCCAUCGAUACAUGUUGUCCGAAAUUAAAUGUGCCACAGAGAAUUUUGCAAAAAAAGUUGGUUUUGGAGGUUAUGGGACUGUAUAUUAUGGAAAGAUGACAAACGGAAAGGAAAUUGCCGUGAAAGUCCUUACAAAUGAUUCUUGUCAGGGGAACCGGCAAUUCUCAAUUGAGGUAACCUAUAUAAAUAAUCAGGUAGACAAGUAAUACUAUUAUGUGUUAUGCUGUGUAUCACUUAGUGACAUACUUUCCACUAGCUUCAACAAUGGGAAAAAGAUCCUGGUAGCUAACUGCACAUAGUUGUCACAACUCACAAGUUCGAUGAACGAAGACUUCCGUUUACAAUGAUUUCUUAAAUAUACAUGAGGACAAGUACAUAUCUCCCACCAGUCAUGAAUGAUGCUAGUCAAUUUGGUUUUUACUUGAGAUCCAAGAAGUCAUUGUAGUGGUGGUACCAUAAGCUUAAUAGGGGAGAACACUAGAGUCAAAUAUGUUGGAACAUCUUAAAAUUUGUUCUAUAUCUAUUGAAGGUGAGUCUCUAGAGUAUAGCCUUACUGUAACUGAGUAAUUUUCAGACACCACUGAAGCAAGAUUUCCAUGCUGGUCAGGAUUGUGUACCCUGUGGUUUUGUUUAUGUUCACUUGGCAAGAUCAUUGUUUAACUGUAGAGAUAAUUUCUGAAAGCCAUUAUCACAAAUCAUCACACUAAAAAGGCCUGUUUCAGGUGUCCCUGCUUUCCAGAAUACAUCACAGGAACCUGGUACAAUUUCUAGGUUACUGCCAGCAAGAGGGGAAGAACAUCCUUGUCUAUGAGUUUAUGCAUAAUGGAACUUUGAAAGAGCACCUUCACGGUACGAGUCUCAUAUUUUCUACGUUAUGAAUAUUUGGAAGUACAAUAAUUUAUUUAAUCUUUGCAGGUUCUGCAUCUCAGAGACAACAUAUUAGUUGGAUUAAGCGUCUUGAGAUUGCUGAAGAUGUUGCAAAAGGUUCCAUUUGAGAAAUAAAUUAUCAUUUAUCUAGACCGUUGAUUUAUCUUCUGGAGUAGUAUGAUAACAAUGGGAACUUACAUAUAACAUUUAUCAGGCAUUGAGUAUCUCCAUACUGGCUGUUCUCCGGCCAUAAUCCACAGGGAUCUGAAGACCAGCAAUAUUCUUUUGGACAAGAACAUGAGAGCAAAAGUUUCAGAUUUCGGUCUUUCAAAGCCUGCUGCAGACGAAUCCCAUGUCUCAAGCGUUGUUCGAGGGACUUUGGGCUACUUAGACCCUGAGUAAGGCCUUCUUCCCGCACAACUAGUGUGUUAAAUACUCACUAUAACAAUUAUAUUUCUUGUACACUCAAAAUACAUGAGCAAGUCAUGAAGUUUAAUGUCACGAAGAUAUAAUGACAUGAGGAGUAAUCAGGAAUUUUUGUAUUAGCCACAGGUUUCCAAGAAUUAGUUACAUCUGGGAAGUCAUGGCGGCAUAAUAUGUUUAAUAUUUUCAUCUUCUGCUCCCCAACUGAUUCCGGCCUCACCAAUUUAUUCAUAAUGUGCAGGUAUUACACCUCACAGCAAUUAACAGUAAAGAGUGAUGUUUAUAGUUAUGGCAUUAUCCUUCUGGAGCUUAUUUCUGGUCAAGAGCCGAUAUCUAACACAAGUUUUGGCGAGAGCUUCCGAAACAUAAGUCCGUGGGUCAGUGCACCACUUUCACCUUGCUACUAAUUAAUUACAAUUGUUUGAAAUUUCUCUGCAACUUUUAAUUCUCUGAUUAACGGCCAACUAUCAAACCAAAUUACUAUUUCUUUGUCGUACACAUCUGAGGCAGCUGCAAUGGCAGUUAAAAGUCAGUGGACUUACAUGUUCCCAAUUCUUUUACAAGCUCGAUGUCAAUUUUUAUUUCUUAGAAUCCGUUGUGUUCUCUUAGAAAUAGUCGCUUGACCCUGUUUUAGUGGCAGUAGUCUUACUAAAUUUCUGUAAACAGGCAAAGUUUCAUUGUGAGAGCGGAGAAAUCGAGGCUAUCAUCGACCCAUCACUUGGGGAUGAUUACAAUGACAUCCAGUCAGUGUGGAAGGUUGCCGAAGUGGCAGUGAGAUGCGUCAACCGGGAAAUGAGAAACAGGCCAGCCAUGUCCGAAGUGCUCAAGGAGAUCCAAGAGGCUAUCGCACUGGAGCACGCUCCGGCGAACACACAACCCAACAAUUUCUUUGGUGAAGUUUACUUGGACGCAUUGAACAAUCCUGGACCCGAUGCUUAUUCUAGUGAUUCCUUUACCCAGCCAGAGCUCCGCUAGUGCUGACCGUACCUGAUGUGCUUCCAUAUUUUUAUGAUUUUGUUCAUAACUAGGAUUGGAAAACAGUGUAAUUCAAAUUUUGAGUAGUUUGUGAUCAUAAUUUAGACAUAUAACAAGUGUUCAUGUCAUGACGAAUGUGCAACUUUCGGGAGAAAUUUCUGAUAUCAAUUGUUAUACCACGUGGAUUGAAGUUGUGUUAACCACAAACCGAGAAUCAGAAUUUUCAUGUGAAAUUCAUAAAGGGAAAACGGAGAGCAGAAACAUAUGAAACAUUCGAUGUGUCCAGACAUCCAUGCAUUAACACUCGGAAAGGUUUAUUGGAAAUAUGCUUACUGAAGUGACUUCAUGUAUGGACGAACGAUCUAGUCCUCCGCAAAUCUGAAAACGAAAACAAACGUAAGGCAAAAGUCAACUACUUCCGUAAGACCUGCACUUGUUGAUCAAGAAACCCUUCGAUGCAUACCCUAGUUCGGAGAGCUUCAGGUGUGCUUCAGCAUAGUCAGCAAAGAAGGCAUCCUCAUCCUGAGGGUGAGGACGUCGGAUCAGUAUAACGCACAUAAUGCAACUAGAGAGAGACAAAAAAAAAAAAAAGAUCAGAUGAGAGCGCAUACGGCAGCGUAUUUCUCGACGAGGGGACGGAAAACAGGAUCGGUGAGGAGAGCCUUAUCGGACGGGAGCUGGAUGACGUCGUCUUUCUCGCCGCUCAGGAGCUCCCUGCCACCGGACAUAUGAGAACAUAUACAGAGCAGAGGAACACAUCAGAACAUGCAGAUGUCGAGGAGGCGACAUAAAUCCUACUUGAAAUAGGAGUUGUCGAAAAUAAGAGGAUUGGAAGUCCAAGCUCCCUCGAAACCGGAGCGCUCCUUGUGGCAUCUCCCCUGAGACAUCAGAAGGUGCCAUCGCACGCAAAGUAAUUAGAUAACAAAAGGUCUAGCGAACGAAAUGCUGCGACGAUAAAGAAGUGUGCAAAUAUUGAUUUACCAGCGUGUGGCCACCAGAGAGUGCAACGAUAUCCUGAUCGCUGAGACCCAUGUGGCCAAACACAUCCCUGAGGUGGUCCGAACCUGCGAGACCGGAAGCCCAUCAGAAACAAUUUUGAUCAUCUCUUACUGUUUGUACAGGAAAAUAAGGUUACUGUGGCUUCUCAUCAACCAAACUCAAUAGGACGCAUGCAAAAGCCAGAGAAAGAGUCUAUAUCAUGAUGAUUGAAAAUUGAACCAAGCGAACAAAACAUCUAAAUAGAACUAAUUUUAUGAUAUCCCCAAAAUGCAGCAUGAGAAGUAGGAACAUUGGAGGGUCAUUUUGAAUGUCCUGAAACAUUUUGUCUAAAGCUGUACCUUUUGUGGCAUCAGGCAGGCGGCCUUCCUCAGGAGGUUGGGUCUUGUCCUGAAACAGAAAAACAAUAUCAUCAAUGCAAAACAGACCAAAUCUUGUUCAGGUAUCCUUCACUAAAUCUGCUCUCGGGAAGCUUUAUCGUCACUUCAACUCUUGCGAAUGAAUGUCUCAAGAGUCUUAGGGUCCCAUCCUACUCGAAUGAACAUCUGAUACAGUCAAAUCCGAGAUCGGCACAACAGAAGUCUGCUUCACGGAACUCGACAUCAUCUACGUAUUACAUACCAUAAUAUUUAUUAUAAGUUCUAUGCAAUAUCGAUGUGGAAGUGGGAAAAAAAUUAAAGAAACUUAUGACAACUAUAUGGAUAUCAAUAGGAUUUCGAUUAGUUAUGUUUAUAUCGGAUAAACAAGAAUUAACUUAAUAAAAUUAUCAUUGAUAUUAUAAGUUUAUAUGUUUUGGAUUGAAAAUUUCAUUUGAGGAUUAAUUAUAUAUUACUUCUAUACUUGAACCCUAUUAGCAUCGUGACCUCUGUAAAUAUAAAAUUUAUAUUAAAUUUUUUAUAGUUUUAAAAAUAAAAUAAAUAAUUAUAUUUAUCUUAAUGUUGUCAACCGUAUUGACGUAAAAUAUAACAUAUGACGAUCGAUGUAAAAACGAUAAGUAAAAUGAUAAUUUUAACAUCACUUUCGUUUUCAAUGACUUUAUUGUAAAAAGAUAAUUUCAAUAUCCCACGUAUUAAAAAUAAAAUAAUAUUAAAAUUAUCUUUUUUUCUAUUAUUUUCGUGCUAAUUCAACAUGUGGUAUCAUGUGUUGUAUUUUUCAUCAAUAUAGUUGACGAUAUUAUGACAAAUAAGAUUAUAUGUUUCAACCAUAGAGAUUCCAAUAUAAAUUUUUGAAGUAUAAAAAGCAUGAUACUAAUAGGUCCAAAUGACUUAAAUAUUUUGCUUGAAUUAUUUUAGCUCAUAUUUUUUGAGGAAUCAUAUCAAUGAUAUACAACCCUUCCAAUAGAUUUACUCGCAAAUUAGAAGGAAUAACGCCACCGCACAUCUAAUACGCGCAACCUCCUUAGAAUAUAUUUACUGCUCCAAUCUUACUCUCCGUUAGUUUUGGGGAACUAUAUGAUUCUAUAAUUACGUCAUUUCUCCACUUCCAAUUCCAGGAAGAGUUGAGGACGAAUGAAGCAGAUCCAUAACCGCCGACCCGAUCAAUCCUAACCCUAAUCUUUUACCCUUUUUUCUUCGUGUUAGCAAGAAAGAGAGCGCGGGUGUUUGAUACCUCUCUGCCGGGAUGGAAAGGGAUCUCCGGCCCUCCUGUGACUUCGACGGCGACGACUCCAGCGAGCUGCCAAGUAAUUGAAUGCAAAACAAGCGUUGAAAGCGCCGUAUCCUCUUGUUUAAAGAUCUGGACAGGGAGAUCAAAAGGGGGGAGAACCUGGUAGAAGUCAGCGAAGGAGAGAGUGGGGAACUGCUCCUUGAUUGGCUCCAGGAGCCGGAGGGCGAUGUCGAGGCCGUUGUUGGCGCCGUGAGCGAGCUCCGCCGCGAACCUUAUCGUCCCGAACGGGCCUCCCGUUUUCGUGCUCACGUCGUACGUCCCCGCCGAGUGCCAACUGAGAUAGAAGGUCCCCACACCCCGACACGAUGGUGAUCGAUUCUUAUGCAAGAGAGAACAGAAAGAGAAGAAGAGAAGAGAACGAUGCGUACGCAAGGCGGAGCAUGAUAGGGGCGCAGUUCUUCUCGGCGAUGAGGCCACGGAGCUUCCUCCUGGCCUUCUCCACCGCCUUCUGGUACUCCUCGCUCACCGCCGGGUACGACUUCCCCAUCGCCGUCGUCCACUUCCCCGAAUUCUGGUCUUCGUCUAGUCGUCGUCAGUGGCAACCCGGCGGGGCCUCCGCAUUUAUAGUGCGCGCCGGGUCUCUGGGGAGGAGCGGACGGAUGGAUCUACACCACGGCUUAUGAUGUGAUACCGACGGCAACGAUUGCGUCCUCGGGGCGUGUUUGCUUCAUGCUGCCCCACGACGUUGUCUGAAGUCGCGCAACAAAUCAAACGGACAGGCGCCAUGGUGGCGACGGUGGGACCCUACCAGGUGUGAACGCGGCGGUGGGGCAGAAAGAUUCCGUUUCAGGACUUCACCAAUUGGUCGCGAAAGGGCCCCACCGGCGGCAGUGCGGUAAUUAUAAACGCAAUAUGACCAUGCUUUCCUUGCUCCAUUAGUUUUGCCAGCCACCGAUCCCGGGGGCGAUUUCGUAAAAUGGACCCCUAACUGAAGCUUUUUUAAGCUUAAGACCCUCGUAAGUUGUGUUCUCUUUUCACUUAAGCCCCCCAAACAGGACCUUAGUGACCCAAAUCCCAUUAAAUCAGUCCCCAAUCGCCUAAUCCGGUUCGAUUUGACCAUUUGGGGGCUGACGUGGCCAUAACAUUAUAAUGUUUCUCAUGCCGGGGGCGGAUUAUGUACUGGUGUAUUUCGUGGACCCCAUGGGUGGACGACUCUCAAUUAGUUUUGGGUCCCUAUCGUUAGGCAAGUAGGUCCCACUUGGGUGUUUAUUUCUUUCCGCACACAGCAGGCGCUUUCCAUGCCCUCCCUUUCCACAUAUAGCCAACAGGCCCGAGUCGGCCCAACAAUGUGUCGGAUCGAUUUGAUCUGAUCCGAUCCGAUCAGGUAUGACAAGCUUUAAAAAAUAAGACAAAGUUUAUAUAAGUCUACAUUAUCCUGCUGUAAUUAAAUAUUAUUAAUUAGUUAUCUUUAAUAUUUUGAUUAUUAUAUCUUUAAUAUAUAAAAAUAAAACAUUUAACUCUGUUUUUCCUCGUGUCUUCAACUCUUUUGACGAAAAUCCCGUAUAUGUUCAAUGGUAAAUCGAAGUGAGACAGAGUCAAGCUCGAUGAUAAAUUCUCUUUUUUUUUUUGUCAAUCAUAAGGAAAAACGAAGUUAAACAUUUCAAUUUCAUAAGUAUAAAAAAUUUGAUAUAAUUAAUAAAAGUAUAGAAUAUACAGAUAACUAAUUACAGUAAAUAAUUUAUGAUAACCUUAGAGAAAUCUGUGUUUGCUUGAAAUAAUGCUAGGCAUAAUGGGCCGGGCUCAUGGGCCUUCGAUAUGUUGUAAUUUCAAUCAAACGCAAAAUUUGUAAGAAAAUUGCAUCAUUUCCCACGAAAUAUUCUAAUGAUUACUUAAGCUUGUCUUCCUCUGAUAUAAUAAUCGGGGAGUUAUUAAAAUAUUUGGUCGGUGAGGCUAAAUAUUAGACAAAGAAAAGGGCAGCGUGUGAUAGGUCGAACGGCACGUAUCACGAGGAAAAAGGCUUUGCAUGCAUGGACAGGAUGCGCCCACGUCGCCAACCUCGGACGUCUCCGCCAAUAAUACACCCAUAAAAGCGUAAUCCACUUGCUAAUGAGACGGAUUAAAUAUAUAUAUUAAUUGGAACAUGAUUGCAAGAGGAAAUGGCCAACCCAUCAAAUUACAUGAGAAGAAAUGGGGGGAGGCAGCUCGGGCGAAUCUUAUUGAUCUUUUAAUCGAUGAUGGCAAUGGCCCCCACCGGUUUAUUUGCCAUCGAGUGUGGCAAUGGGAAAACAGAGGAAGUAUUAUGGUCGAGUUGUCAUUAAAGUAUCUUUCCCCCACCGGUUUAAUCUUGUCAUUAAGCAUCACACAUACAUACAAUAAUAAUAAUCCUCCAUACAUAAAACAAUUAUUAUCAUCAAUUUGGAUUUCGGAGACAAUUCAAUUAUGUCUCCAUUCUAAAUCUUAUCUUGAUAUGAUAAUCAUUUAAUAACACAAACUUUAAGGAGAUAUAAUCAGAAAUGAAACCUUUAAAUUGAACAAUAACUAAAGUCGAGAGAUGAGAGAGAAGAAUCUAAUCAUAAUCGAAGAAUUUUGUAUUUAUAACCAAAGGUUUCGAUAAAAAUAAGAGAGAAAAGGACUUAUGUGGUUGUCCUCUCUACGUGAAAUAUUCUUUCAACCAUUUUUGAUUUAAAGAUUAUUUUAUAUUUUAUUAUAUAUUGACGUGAUAGAUAUGAUGGAUUGACAUUCGCAUGUCGAGUUUUGAUUAAUCUCGUGUGUGUAUAUAUAUAUAUUAUUCAUUGUAUUUUGUAACACUUAGGUAAGAGAAAGUUGUGACAACUAUAAUGGACCAUUAUAAUUGCUAUUUUUUUUUGUCUUUUAUAUGUUUUCCUAUUAUUGAUUAGUUUUCUUUAUAAAUUGUGCACAAACAAACGACUGAGAUUUGCUAUCGUGAUGACUAAGAUUUUUGUUGGGAAAGGCACAUCAUAAUAAUAUUGGACGCAUAGUAUGCUUGCCAUGGGUUCGCAUCGAUCACCAACGGUGAGCUGUUCGAUGGAACCCUUAUUUUGGACCAACUGUGAAGAGGGCGUGAUGAUAUCCAAUGGAGACAAACUUGAAGCUAUCACACUAUUAUCUGCACAAAUCCAAAAUCAAAAUUAAAACUCCACAAAAUUAUCCUUUUUUUUUUCCCCCUUUAAAUCCCGACAACUUCACAAGUUAAUAUCUUAUGCUUAUUAAUAUGUUGUUAUAUCUAUUAAUUAUUUAUAAACUGAAUAAUUAUGAACUAUUAUAGGAAGAUAUUUUUGAGAUCCUAAUUAACGUGAUGUGAUUCAAACUCAUAUGCACAAGAUUAUCCAAGAUGUAUUCGAGGAGAAAAUGUCGAGCUCCCGUGUCACCUGCAUAGAGAUAAAGUCAAGUAAGGUUUUUCGACUCAAAUAUUCUGGUGUCUAUGAUAGUAAUCCAAGAUAAGUGUGUGUCGAUGUGAGUGUAAAAUAGUGAUCUAUUUUUUUACUGUGCUAAAAAUAAGCUUUUAUAUAUAAUCGUAUAAGGAUAACAACCCUCUGUUAUCUCUAAUCUCGUUUGAACUUUUCUCUAUAACAAAGAGAGAGAUAACUUACCACUGUUUACCUUAGACUAUUAUCUAACAUGCACAUAUUAGUAGGGGCAAUCUAUAUCUCUUCUUCCAACCAAAACAUUACGCUUUUCUAUUAAUAUGUUAUAAUAUAUAUUAAUUAGUUAUUAACUAAAGAAUUAUGAACAAAAGUUUAACUCUUAAUUCGAUCAUUAAUACAUGUAAAAUAAGUAUUUUUUUUCAUAUUUAUUCCCUUCAAAUGUAAGAUUGGCAUGCAUAUUUUACUGCAAAAACCAAAAUCUCACAUAUAUAUGUUUAGAACAUAAAUAUUUAAAUUCUAAUGAACAUUAAUUUGCUUUAUAUCUUUCAUUUCAAUAAUUAAGGUAUUUAUAUAUUACAUAUUCUUAAAUUCAAAGUCGAUAUUGACGAUCGUGUUAAUAGUGGUUAAUCUGAUUGAUUUUUUAAUGAAUAUCAAUGGCAUAUAUUAUUAUUCUAAAUAAUAAUAAUAAUAGAAAGAUAUGAUGUGAUUUAUAUUUUUAACAUUUUUCAUCCUCGUCUAUGUACAACUUAAAUUGAUGGAAGAUAUAUUUUUAUGCGGGAUUUGAACUGAACACAAUUAUUUUUCUCGAUAUUAUAUUAAAAUUUGAUGACCCAUAACUUUUUAAUGAGAUGUAGUAUAACAUUUAAGAUGAAUUCUCAAAUUUUCUUUUUACUUUUACUAACAGGUGUUUUCAUUUUUUUUUAUUUUUCUAUGGAUCGAUUUAUCUAAUAAAUCGAUUCAAUUAUAAUAUUUUUAUAUUAUAUUAUGAUAUAUUUUUAAUAUAAUAUAUUUUUUUAUGAUAUAUAAUUUCGAAUGGUAUCCUCCGGGUGGUACGUACUGGUCCGACGACAUAUCGGUAUGGACCGCUCACUACCAACGGACCGUGCUAUAAUGUUACAGUAAUACAUUGUAGUAGUGCUACGAUAAAAGAAAAUAGCUCGGUAAAUCCUGAUGUACCAUUCUGUACGUCAUGAUAUACCACUCGAUACGUCGGUAUCGUACCGUAUCGAAUCAACCUCGAAAUAUCGAUACGAUAACAUAUCUUGAUUUUUAAUAUUAUAUUAUAAUAUUUUUUAAAUAUUACUAAAAUUAUCAUAACAUAGCAUAAAAAUAAUAUAACUCGACAGAUUGGCUAUCAGUUCACAGAAAAGAUAGAGAAAAAAAUAGAUGAUCAGAUAUUCUUCAGGUAUUGAGAAAAAAAUACAGCUAAAAAAUUGUAGAAAUAGAGGCACUUAAAGGGGAAAAGACAAUGAUUUAGAUAGAUGAAUCCAAUCAAGAAACAUGAACGUCAUCCGCACUUUGGUACUUGGCAUUUGUUUAGGGUUUAUAUGUGGAGGAAGAAAGGACAAGUCGUACCCACAGCCAAAGGAGUAUAAUACAAACAGGCGGCCCACGUGGCGCCCUCCGAUUGGGUCGGCCCCGCCCGAUGCGUCGGUGGAAGACGACGUCCGCCGGGUCGGACCACCGGUUGCAGCCGGUCGACACCGGGAACCCCCGCGACACCGGAGAGGGAAAAGGCAUUCAUUCAUACGAGGGAGAGAGAGAGGGGGUAGGAGGAGGGCGGGGCCCACGGGUGGGUGGUUUCGUGUGGGGGGCCGACUUCUUCCCCGCCUUUCUUGGGGCCCCUUUGGCUUUUGUCUAUCUUCUCUGCAUCACCGUUGAUUGGCCUCUCGUGUCCCCAUCUGUCCACCAGCGGUCGGGCGUCGAAAUGAGCGGUCCAGAUUUUAUCUGCUUUGAGCUGGUUUUUUAUUUUAUUUUUCUUUUUUUAUUUGAGUUUGUGUGAUAAUUAUGUGAAAAAAUAAUAUAAAUAGCAACUAAGGUCGUGUUGAACUUAAAUGUGCCCGAUAUGAGAUGAUCCAAUUCGAUAGAGGUUUAUGAUCUUAUCAUACUUCAGAAUCAUAAUAUAAAUUGAUGAAACUUAUGAUAAGGGUAUUAUUUAAAAUAUUUUUUUAUGCUUAAGAUUGAAAUAAAAAAAUACUUUAGAUGAUUUGAAACUAAAAAAAAAGAGUUUAAAAUAAUAUUCUAGAGAAAAAAAAAUUAGAUAACUUAUAUUACGUUCAAAAAGGUUCGUUUUUAUGAUAUUAAGAUGAUAACCACAUGUGUAAAGAAAUUAUUUUUUAUUCAAAAAAUAUUUUAUAUUUAGAUUUAAAUUAGAAUGAUUACCCAACUUAUCAUGUUCUGAGUUUUUAUAGACAUUCUUACCAAAUUAGGAGUAGGAUAUUGUUAUACAUUCUUUCAAUUAUUAAUUAAACCACCUAUAGCUUAUAAUCAUGAUAAUAUUUGUUUGUUCGAAUAAAAAUAUAUAUAACUAUAAAUACUACAAAUUAGGAAAAAUACAAAGUCCAAAUAGUCUUUUUUUUAUAUCCUUCCUAGUCUUAUGCUUUCAAGUGCACUCUUGUCUCCAUCUACCAUCCUAACCCAUCCCCAUCUCAUUUCAUCCACUACAAUAAGAAGAUGUGUUUUGUACCAGUGGACAACUGAGAUGAUGUGAUGUGAGAGGAUCCUCCCCCCUUAGUUUUCAUAUGGAUUAAUGUGCAUUAGUUUUCAUAUCGAAUUGGUGAAUCGUGAUGCACUUUGGGAUCUUCUAAUCUCUGGACAUCGACCGUUCAUCUUUAGCGUCCACUUCUGAGGUGGAUUUAUGCGAUGAAAUUAUAACCAUUGAAACGACUCCAUAAAGCAUGACAACGCCAUUCAUAUUUUUAGGUUUCCAUCCUCUCGCAUGAUGUCAAGGAAAGUUCGCCUAUACUGUUCUUGAUACUAAUUAAUUAAUUAUAAUGAUUCGAACCAUUCAAUAUAACAACAUGAUGUUAAUGAUUGAGUCACAUUUGAAAUUAACCAAAUAUAAAAUAUUAAAAAAAGUUCACUUAUAUCAUGAAAUAUUUUAUCUAGCUUAAUCAAUUAUAAAAACUCAAUUACUAUUUAUUUCAAAUAUCCACUCUAUUACUUAAAUAUUUUAAUUCAUUAUAUUUUCCUCUAUAAACCUUCCAAUAUAUAUAUAUAUAUGCAAACGUUGAAAGGACACUUUGAAAAUGAAAUAUCCUUUGACUUCCAAAUUUUGGCAAAUAUUUUAAACAAAUAAGUAAUUUAAAGGUGGCUUCUUCAUCUGCACGCUUCUGUGUCACCCACGCAUUUCCCAAAACGGAAACUUCGUAGACCAACACAUUAAUCUACUCUUAAGACGUAAAAAUAAAAGAUAAAUAUAAAUAUAAUAUAAUAAAAAUAUACUCUUACGACGUUAAACUAAUCGAGUUGCCUUUUGAGGACGUGUCAUCUUCCGCGCGUCCUACAGUCCUAUUCCCUGUUUGGAAUGCGGCAUCUUCCAGCACACGGAACUAAUCCAACAUGAUUACAUCGGGCGGCGAGGAUGAAUCCGCAGUGGAAACCCCGAAGACCGGCUGCUCCCGGUCGUCCGGUGCCACUCACUCCCUCUAUUUGUAGCACAAGAGGCUUCUUUGGUAGUCGUGCCUCUCGAGGCUGUUCCUCUCCUCUCACGGAUCCUCCCUCCCCGCCGCUCAACGCCGACGAUCUGUCCACCGUCGCCGUCUCUCCGUAAUCCUUCGUGAGGUGCUUGUUCUUAGUUUAUACUUGUUAUUUGUCUCUGCUGUGUUAUUGAGCUCCGGAUUCGAUUCGAUGUCGAGCGUUUUACCCUCCAUUUUUGUUCCUUGGGUGAGGAAAGAUCGAGGUGAGAAGGCGGGACGAUGGAAGCGGAGAGGUUGGUCUCCGAGCAGAGAUCGCAGUUUCUCCGUUAGAUGCGAUGGAGAGUCGCCUCUCUAUCUCUCUCUCUCUGCCAUUCUCUCUUACUUCUGUCAUUGUCGAUCGGAAGUUGUGCAUCAACCUCGUUUUCUUUCGUUUCCCUCUUCUCUUCCUCUCGUUUCCCUUGCUGGGGAUGAGAUCGCUGGUCUGGUCUGUGCGAGAUGGAAUAGCAGGCAGCUGUAGUGGUGGUGACGCCACCAUCGUGCCUGUGCGGCCAUCUGUGUUGCUGAUCUUAGUUGAUGGUGAUUCGUGUACUUAUUGAGAUUGCUUCCCUUGUAGAUGUGAUAUAUACUGUGGGAUGGUGAAGCACAUAGUUAUUAUAGUUGCGGGGUGGCAAUCUUAAUCGUGGAAGGAGAUAGAUGUUCCGUAAGAACGACUCGGCCCUAUCCUGCUUCUAUCUCUACCUGCUCUGGCUAUUCUUCCUGAAAUAGCAAGGAAUCCAAACCCUAAGCUUGGGAGAGUGUGCGAAUACGGAUCUGAUCGUGAAAGGUUGUCUUUCUCAAAAUGUUCGACCUCAACCUGGCGUCUUCCGGCGAGUCGACGGCUCUCGAAGAUAAGCUUGUCCCCGAGAGUUCUGGCGCCAGGCAGAUGGACGACUCCGGGAUUACGAAUUCGUCUGUCCUCAACACUGAGGGUUCUGUGGAUAUGGCCGAUGAAGAUUCUUGCUCGACCCUUCCUGCGAUGGCCUUCGAAUUCGGUAUCUUGAAAUGCUCUACCUCGGCAGAGGGAGAGAAUGAAGCCGAAGAGGGGAUUGGAGGGCAUGCGAGUGGUGUCCUGGAACAACCUGGACUCAUCACCAGGCAGCUCUUUCCGUCGGCAACGAUGCUGAUUCCGGACGGUUUCCAACUGCCGGUGGUGGCUUCGUCCCCGUCUUCAUCGAGGCUGCCUUGGAUGAAUCUUACGUUUUGCCAAACUGAUUCACAAUCAGAAUUGAGAAUUCUGCAGCAACAGCAGCAAAAGCAGGUGAAAAAGAGUCGCAGGGGGCCACGGUCCCGCAGCUCUCAGUACCGGGGAGUUACGUUCUACCGCAGGACAGGAAGAUGGGAGUCUCACAUCUGGUUAACAUUUUGGUCUUUUGAAUCUUAUUUCUUCUCCCCUGAUUCAGGUAAACUGACAUUAGUUGCUUCUCUUGGGCAGGGAUUGCGGGAAGCAAGUGUAUUUGGGUAAGCUUUUAUGCAAAAUUUCGUUUGAUCAUUCAUAUUUCUGUUGGAUCGGACAUUUUCUGAUUGUUGUUUUGAAUUUGACAUUUGGACAUUAAUAGGAGGUUUUGACACUGCUCAUGCUGCCGCAAGGUAAGAAUUAUUUUUUCAUCUGAUUUUAAUCCUUUUCUCCUAUGGCUUUCACCUAUUUAGGCAAAGAAUAUAUAAGCAGCAAUAUUCUACUUUCAGGGCAUAUGACCGAGCUGCAAUCAAGUUUCGUGGUGUGGAUGCUGAUAUCAAUUUCAAUCUCAGCGACUAUGAGGAAGAUCUGAAACAGGUAACUAAAAGUAGAGGCAAAAGAAUAGUUCGGUUCAUUAUAAUUUUGGAUGGCAAUUCAUUUCUUUUCGGUUUACCCCUUCUUAGAUGAGGAAUCUAUCAAAAGAAGAAUUUGUGCAUAUACUUCGUCGCCAGAGUACUGGUUUUUCAAGAGGAAGCUCAAAAUACAGAGGAGUGACCCUUCACAAGUGUGGUCGCUGGGAAGCCCGCAUGGGGCAGUUCCUUGGCAAGAAGUAAGAAUAUUGUGCCAGUGUCCUUGACUCGUGGGCUUUGGUUUGAGGAUCAGGAUGGGUUCUUGCUCUUGCACAUUGUUUCUUAGUUCUCGAUUUGUGUCUUGAUGCCUAAGACCAAAAGUUCUAUCAUUUGCACAAAGCAACAUAGCUGAUAUCGGUAGAGAUACCGGGAAAUCAUUGAUUUGUUAUAGUCUUGGUUCACAGAUUGCACAAGAAACAUGAUCUUAACUAGAACACAAUUUAUGCUGUGCAGGUACAUAUAUCUUGGGUUAUUCGACAGCGAAAUAGAAGCUGCAAGGUCCCGAGCAUGGAUUUCUUCAUCGUCGAUGAUGCUCUAAUUAUUAAUUUUAAUUUCAUCAGGGUUCGGUACCAACACCAAUUUCCUGUUUCUCUUUGUUGUUCUUCUACAUCAGGGCUUAUGACAAGGCAGCAAUAAAGUAUAAUGGAAGGGAUGCUGUUACCAAUUUUGAGCCAAGUACCUAUGAAGGAGAACUACUUUUUGAGGGUGAUACUGAAGGUGCAGUUCGCAUAUUUGAGUCUCUCUCUAACAUCAAAUUCAAGAUGUGUUGUUCUGAAUCAAUUGCAUGGUUCUUUGAGAAAAAUUCAUUAUCUGAGUUCAAAUAUUUGAUUGGUUGCAGGUCAUGAUGUGGAUCUGAGUUUGAGGAUUUCUCAAUCUGUCGUCCAAGGUCCAAAGGGAUAUCAAAAUUCAUCAAAUAGCCAGUUUGAAGCUUCUGAUUGCAACAUAGCAAAGGUAAUCAGUUUGCUAUAUUCUGAUAUUUUGUUAUUCCUUCUCACAAUUGGACUUAUUGCCAGUCUGUUCCUUCCUGAAUAAUCCCCUGAUAGACCUUGUUUUAUUGGAAGCAUUGGCAUGCCAUAUUUUCCUUUGGUGGUCGAUUUCUUUUUCCUGCAAUGUCAUGCAUACUCUAAUGUGUACUUGUUCCCAGUCCCACUUGAUGAUUCCAUGGAUUGUGUUGUUUAUGACAUGUCCGAGUCCAUUUCUACUUUAUUGUGCCUCACUGCUAACUAUUAGUUUUGGACUCGAAAGAAAUUACACAUUGACCAACUGUAAGAAUUCUUCUUUACUCUAGUACUAUACUGCUGCUCAGAUAUAUACACUACGUGCCUCAACCGUGCCCCCUGAGCACUCUCAUGCCUAGACAUUUCGAUCUAAUGCGUUUUGCCAUGAUCGUCUCUCGGAAAAUGCUACGUUAAGUUGCAAAUUAUUUUGACAGAACAAAUUUCCACUGUGAUUGGCCCACUCGUGGAAAUACCAAUUUUACAAACACCUGAUUUGGUUGGUCCUUUGGGAAUAAUUUAUGGCAAAUUUGAUUUAGAUGGUCUGCUGUCACUCCGUUGGAUACUUGUUCUUGCUGAUAUGGUCUCAUAAUACACUGUUUGAUUGGUUUAUCAUGCCCAGUUGAUCUCACAGUAGUUUCUGUCUGCGAAUGCAGGAGAACGAGAGUGAGAAGAGGACCGCGGUUGGCUUGCAAGCUCUCCCAAUCUGGAAUUGGCCGACAAAUGGACAUUGUCCAUUUCCACUGUUCUCUUCUGCAGCAUCAUCAGGAUUCUCACCUACCACAGUGACAGCUGCUCUUCCUCCCCUGAAGCCACCACCUCCAACAACCCAUCAUGUUCAUUUCUCUCCCCGAGCUACAUCAAAUUACCGUUUCAUGAAUCCAAAUCAGUAACACUCCAACGAGGUGCCAAAAUGUUACACACAUGAACCAUCUUUAGGGCAGGGCAGGUCCCGGGGGGGGGGGGGGGGGGGCGGUAGCCAGUCGCAAAGAAGUAAUACUUGGUGAACCAUCGUGUGGUCUACCCCUGUAUCAUUUUAUCGUGUUCUUCAGGUUCUUUCCUCUUCACCGCGGAGCUAGAACAGUCGAACUUUAUUCUGGGCUUUCGGUCAUCCCUUCGUCUACAUGUACUGUUCAUGAUCCGCACUAGUAAGUUCUUCUGAAACCGUGAAAUGUGGUUCAAAAUCAUUUUGACUGUCUUGUUUCUUUGGUGAGUAUACAUUUAAGUGCAACAACGGAUCCUUCAUGUGGAUAUAUAGUACAUCUCCGGAUCUGUUGCUAAUCUCCUUAGUGUUGAUAGCCCAAUCACCCGGUCUCUCAUUUGCUUCCGUGCGUGACUCUUGAGAAUGAUGCGAUAAGGAGAAGACGGGUAGUGGUUGACUUGCUGUCUCAAUGAAGGUAGGCUUGGCGACGCAUGAAUCACGUGUACGCUCCUCCACCAAGUCUUCUUAUUUGCCCAUCAAAUGCUACGACUUUUGACUUCAAAUUUUCGAGCCUGGAAUGAUUCAGGUCGCGAGUCCCAAGUUUUCUGAUAAUAUCUCCUAUCCAUAAAACAGAGUGCAAACGUCUAACGAGUCUAAAUUAAGAUCAUAUCUUAUUAUUGUCAGAGUGAAAGAAGGACCACCUCAGUCUGACCAGACCACGCUUAUAAAAAAAGAAUAUUUUUUUUGAAUAAUAUUAAACAAUAUUGUAGUUAUUAUCGUUAAUUAUUUCAGAUUGACCACUUCUCAGAUCAGCGUAUACAAAAACAAUUUCCAUAGACCGUCUCGUGGCAAGAGCCGAUCUUGUUGGUCUCUUACCACUCUUCAUCUAUAGUUAGGCAGUCUUGGGGGCGAAGGCCGAAACUGUGGGCGAUAGGCUUUUGCGUAUACAAUAUGUCGCCAGGUUUCCUUCUCUGUAACCUCAGCUGCAGCUGCAGCUGCAGAGGAUAGAUUGCAUGAUCUUCUUUCAAGGAAUCAGAAGGUUGCCGUCGCAUUCACACAUGAAUUCGCUUCUGUCACCUUCUUAGCCAUCGUCUUCUUCAUAACCCUCAUUUUCCUCCUCCUUUCCCAGUUGGAAGCAAGCAAAGAGUGAGUAUAUAUUCUCAGAAACCAGAAUGAUGGACAGCGGAGGAAGAGCAAAAGACACAGUAGCAUAGCAGCUGAGCUGACUCUAUUCCAGUGACAGAGACCUAAUUUACAGAGCUCCACUCAUCUAACGCAAACACUCAUCUUGGUUUGUUCCUAUAUUACAGAGCAGGAGGAAGCAGCUACGGGAAUCGAAGGAGUUCCAAUCAGAUGGAAGGAACAGAUGCCAAGCAACCAUACAAGUAUUAGCCAGAUGCACGAGGACGCGUCGAUGUCGCAGCUCCGCCUUCCCGUUCACCGCUCCCAGAUAUGCUCCCCUUCCAGGUGGAGUAGAUGGCGGAGGUCAUGGAAGACCAUGAAUCCUUCAGUUCCGUAGCGAUCUGCUUCUUGAUGCUGCCCCUUGGUGGUGGGCACAAGUUCCCUCUUCCCCUCCUCUCCUGCUUGCCGGCGUCUUGGUGGCUCUUCAUCUCUUCCGUAACAGAGAGAGAGAGAGAGAGAGAGAGAGAGAGUGCGCGUUGUCGCUGGAGCGAUAGGCAACCGGAUAUAUAGAGGUGUGUCAGAAGAGUAGCCGACAUACGUCAUUGAAACGUGUGUUAGUAUUAGGAAAAAUAUUGUUAAAAAAAUAAAUUAUGAUAAAAUUAUGAUUUUUAAAUUAUAAAAAUUAUGAUAUUAUCAUAAAUCUAUCAAUAAUAAAGAUAAUGAUCUCAACAUGAUUUGAUGAAAUAAUUUAGAUAAAUAUUUUAUAUUAUAAAAAUAUAUAAUUAUCAUAAUAUCUUUUUGUGGAUAUAAAUUCAUACCUAAUAUUCAUAAA